rnacentral:lncRNA from 1 species
AGAGAGUUUAAACAGCAAAGAUUGUUAAGAUACUAGAAGUCAGCUUCAUAACAUGAUUAGUACAAGAAUAAUGCACGAAGAUUCAACGGAUUUCACCAAUUUGAUGAAGAUGUCAUCAUUCCCCUUCUUGCUUGAAAGCUGUUGCAUGGACUUGAACUCUUUAUCAACAUCCACUUUUCUUUCCUCAGUCUUAAGUGUCUGCAGAGCCUUCCUCCUUUCUUCCAGCACCUUCUCAUACUCCUCAAGUGUCAUCUCCUAUUUACAAGAUACAAGGACCAUAAGCAAUAUCCGAUUGGUGCACAAUAAAUAUUGCACAGAUGCCAGUAAGAUCUCUUACUAAUAGAAUGGGAGAUUUUUCAACCAAAAAUAAAAAAUUUAAUGAACAAUGUUGUAAGAAAUAUAUUUUAAUCUACAAUAUUAACUUGAGAUUACCUUAAGUAACAAAAGCUCAUUACUUCUUGAUACUUGUGCUGAAAAAGCUAUUGCAGAAGCACUACAAUUAUUUUUUUUUUAUCAGAAUGGCAAUUAUUAUUACUAUUAUUAUGGAGGGUUGUGUGUAUCUUGGGAGUGGGUGGGUGGGGUGAGGGCUUUCCUGAAGGGAAUGCCAUCUAAUGCUCAAUAAGGCAAACAGUAGAAAAUUAAAAUUUAAGCCUACAUAACAUAGGUUGAAGCAUAUAGCAUGGUUCAGAGGCUGGAUACUACCAUUGUCAGAUCAGAAUUAACAAGCUAAUAUUUUCUUCGAUAAUAACAGUUUCAUUUCCUAGAAUAUUUGAUUACAUAUUUUAAGGCCCCCACCACCCAGCAAAAAGAUAAACCAGAAUUUAAAAAAACUAGAUAAUAUAUAUGGAUUACAGCCACAAAGAACCUGAUAUCAACAAAAAUAUUUCCUCAUAUCAUGCAUGCAUAAUAAAGCAACGGGCACAGUUCAUAUCUCAAGAUGUGAAAAAUAAACAAAGCUAAAAUUCUCUUAGAUAAUCAAAGUUUCACUUCCUAGAAUAUUUGAUUAAAUAUUUUAAGGCCCCCACCACCCAACAAAAUGAUAAACCGGAAAAAAAAAAGUAGAUAAUAUAUAUGGAUUACAACCAUGAAGAAGCUGAUAUCAACAAAAAAAUAUUUCCUCAUAUCCUGUAUGCAGCAUAAAGCAAUGAGCACAGUUCAGAUCUCAAUAUGUGAAAAAUUAAUCAAUAAAGAAUUCACCAUUCCAUUGGCAUAUGCAAAGCAAUGCACAAUGUGGGAAUACUUUAGAGCUUAAUUUAUGGGGAAAGAUAUCAUACUGAAUUGUACUUCACAGAUUCAACCAAUUAUAACUGUCAACCUAAAGAAUACCAGUUGACUGCUAAUGCUGCUAUAAGGUCAACAUAUUUGACAACAACUUUGUAGAAAACAAUGAAUGACCUGGUGCAGGAAAACAAGGUUGCUCUUGGGUGAAAGAAAAAAAAAAUCUCACAUUAUAUUAGAAACAAUUUUUUUUCUCCUGUUUGUUUCCCUCCAACUGCAAUUUAAAAUGAAUUGCCUAAGGAAGAAGCACUAAGGCACACCAUAAUGAUAAGAGUUUAAUUUUUUAUCUUUAAAACCUUGCUUUUGCUGUGGAUCAAGAGUCAUGAAUAUGAUUAUAGGAUGAGAUGCCAACUUUGGCAGGAUAAAAACAUCUAAAUCAUGGAGCCAUUCACCUUUUCCUCAGGUUCCUUUUCUUCAGGUUCAUUCACAGGAUUCUCCUUGUUGCCAUCUGCCACAUCUUCUUCCCCUACAGGCUUCUCAGCCCCCAAAUUCUUCUCACCUUCAUUGACAACUUCCUCAGUGACCCUGAACAAUAAACAUGAUGAACAUAAAAAUUGACAUACAUAUGCAAAGAGAAGUAGAGCAUCUAUACAUAUAAAAGAGAAGCUACAAAAGGAGCUACAACAAGGGCACACCAAAGUAUAUGAGGGGUAUACAAAGGGCACCAAGCAAAAAAGAAUAGGAAAAAGAAAACGCACAACCUUCAACACCUACUUUGACCUAACCAAUCAUCAAAAUCCAAAAAAAGUUACAAGGUGCAGCCGACCAUGCUUUCUUAUGCCUCUUCCCAACAAAGCACCCGUUCCAUCUUGACAACACCAUCCCAUGCAAAAAGGGUUAUUAGAAACACUAGUUGCAAGUGUAAGGGAAAUACUCACCCAGAUAGCUCAUCAGUCUCAGUUCCCCAAUUCCCACGGCCAGACCCUUCUCGUUUGAGCUCAUUUCUGCAAACAGACAGAUGGUUGAAAGAAUAAACGAAGGAGAACCAUACAAAAAUCACAAAUCACGGGAUGCAUCAAGAUGAAACAUUAGAAACUCUAUACUGACCCACGACCAGUCCCACUACGACGUUCAAAUGCCCUACGGGGGCGGUCCCCAUCCCCUGCUUCUCCAUUACUGAAGCCACCACGGCGGCCGCGGAAAGGAGGACGAGGCCCCCCAUAGUUACGCCUUUCAGAGGGUUUUCCACCUUCUCCAUCUUCAGGGGCACCUUGACCACCAGCAACUCCCAUGUUGCUGAAGGAGUUCUCAUUGUUAGCAUAGUCUCGAUUAAAUCCACCUCCACCACGACCACGCCCAUAUCCACGUCCACCACGACCACCUCCACGCCCAGAUUCGUUCUUUCCCUCCCUCACUGUAGAAAAAGAAAGAGACAAUUAGGUAUUAGAGUCUGCUAUGAAAAAGGAAAAAUAUGAUAAUGGAAAAUCCAACAAUUUAUCAAGGUGAAUACUAAGGUAAACUCCAAAACAAAGCUAAACUUGUUUAUUAAUUCCCAAUAAAUUUGUUAUUACAAUAAAACAAAAAAAGUGAAGCAUGUAAGCAGCAUAAAGUCAAGUACAGCAUUGUUAGACUGACGACCAACAGAUGACAAAUGAGAUAGGAAAUAGUGUAAUCUAAAAACCACCUCAAUCAAAGUCUUUCAAAAGCAAAAGAAGGUCUGCAGAUAAACAUCUCAGCUAAUAUACCACAAACCCUUUUGGCGAAGCCCUUGCCACAACUAGCAUUAACUAUAAAUAAACAAUGUAAAAAAACCCAUAAGAAAGCCAAAUAAUAUAUUGCUUCCAAAACAGGCCCCAUUUGGAUCACGAAUAUCUUAGACAGCUACCGACAACAAUUGAACUUUUACAUAAGCUAUCGUCCAAGAAAAGAAACAAUUAAAUGGAACCAAAAGUGUCCAGAUGACAUUGGGAAAGGCCCCAGACAUAACAUCCACACACAAGUAACAAAAGAAUCUAAUCUUAGACUAUUUUCCCCAACUCACCAAUGCUUGGCUUCACACUAUUCUGAUGCCACCCUUUACAUUCAAAUAGCCAAUAAAAGAACACAAGAAACCAAGCUUUGAAGGCAUUUCAUAAAUGCAGGGAAUUGCACCCCCACCAAUAUAAACGCAAACUACAUAGAGAGGAACUAACAAACAUAUUAACAAACUCUCCAAGUCACAGUAAACCAAAUAAAAUUUAGAAGAUCCCACAAAAUCUGACUACAUACUUUCACAUACCAACCAAGAAAACUUCAGCCCAAUGACAAAUGCAUAUUAAGAAAAUGCCAAAACCAAGAAAAAUGAUACAUGGAAAAGAAUACAAAAUUUUAAAACUGUGUAAGACGCAAAUAAAAUGAUUACAAAAUCAUAUAUAUAUAUAUACCAAAAAUGCAUCUACUUCUCACAAACAUCAAUACCACAAAGGCCAAACAACAUGAUAAAUCAUUAGGAUACAAAAACUAAGUGAACAAAUGAAUCCCACUAAUUUCUAAUUAAAAAUACAAUACAACAAACACUUCUAAACUUAGCUUAAACAAAAUCUACCGUCUUUCUUUUCAUGUACAAGAGCAAAAUAAUUCCAUAUCAGAGAAACCACAUUAAAGGUUAUAUACAGAAAGAAAAACAAGUAAUAUUCACUUAACGAAUCAAAUAAAACCUCUCUUCAAAUCUCUAUAAAUCACCCAAAAAAGAAAAGAAUCUAAACUUUCCCAAAAAGUAAAAAAUAAAACCCAUGAAACCAAAUCCAAAUCCUCAAAAAUCCACAAAAUAAAACACAAUAUAAUAGAAGAAAUUGAACCUAAAAGAACACUCACCGGCCUGAGCUGGAGGCACAGGCUUGGAGGGCAGCUUGGCCGGCUUGGCCUGCUGAGCGGGAGCCGCCGCUUGAGUGGGAGCCAGGGCCUUCUUCGGCACGAUCUUCUGAGCUGCGAUCAGCUGCGAGGGGUCCUCGCUAUCGUCGUCCCCCAAUAGGUCGAAAGGGUUCAUGGUCGCCAUUUCUGAUUGUACCCUCCAACCACAAAACAAAACCCUAGCUUAGAACUCCGAAGGCGACCAACAAACCCUAGCUUAACAUCACCGCCAUUGAUACAGAUCUGCGUAAACCAAUAAGUUAGGUCACUCGACAGAGAUACCUCAAAACCCUAGCCGCAAUGGAGAGUGUUUUAAGAGAGACCAAAAACCUAAUCUUCAAUCCCACCAAUUUAUUGUGUUGUUUGCUGUGUUUGGAUUGGCAUCGUGUGUCCGUGUGCGUGCGGCUCUUCCUCAUCCAUCCACUCUUUACCCUUCUUUUUAUCCGCAUUUACGGAUGUGCCAUUCCCCUCUCUUCCACCGUCGAUUCGGGCCCGUUCUCCUCAUCACGGCCGUUGAUUACUGCAGCAUUAUUGAGCUUUCUCGAACGUUCCACACAACGGCAUGUGCGUUACACUUUUAUUCUAGAGGUAAGACGUUGAGAUUUACCAAAAUUAGAAAAUUUUUAAAUAAAAACGAGAUAUUAAUAUUAUUAAUAAUAAAAAUUAAGAUGAUAAAAUUUAUAUUUUACAAUAAAAUUUACUCACUUAUUUACAAAUAUUUUAUUUUUUUGCUUAAAUUUCUCAAUAUUUCAAUAUCAUGUUAACAAAUUGUUUUUUUUAAUUAGUCUAAAUUAUUAUUGAAAUAAAUUUAAGCAGUGAGAGGGAAGAAUGAGUUUAAGAAAAUUAUUGUAGUAAUUAUUUUUAUUUAUUGGACUUUAAUCUUAAUUGUGUUAAAUUCACAUAAAGUACAAAGGAAACAAUAAAAAAAUGGUAAGAAAAUUUAUUUUUCAUAUUUAGUUGUCCACCAAAAUUACUAAAAAAAAUUGAAUAUAAUUAAAAUUAAUUAACAAUUUAUAUGUUUUAAAAUUAUUUAAUCUUUUAAAAUAAGUUAAAAGGGUUUGAAAUAAUAUAUAAAAUAAUUUAUUGAUUUUAAAUUUAUUUUUAUUUUUUUUUUACUAUUUUUCCUUUCUAUUUUAUAUCUCUUGUAUUUUUAUUUUUAUUUUAUUUUUGGCUAUUUUUUUUCCUUGUAUUUUUGAGUUAGGUUUGGAUGCCCAAAUGGGUUGACUUGACCCAACCUAAUAAAUGGGAGAAAUAAGGGGAAUAAUUGUUGGAAGUUUUAAAAUUACUGACAAACUAUCACUAUUAAAUAAAUAAAUAAAGUAUUUUUUUUUAAAAAAAUGUUUUUUUUUCUUCUCUCUUAUAUAAGAGAGAAUAUGUUUUAUCCUCUCUGUCUCUCUCCAAACAAAGAGAGAAUACAUUGUUUUUUAAAAAAAAACAAAAAAUCCUCUUUUAAUUUUUUAUAUUUUACUUUGUGGAAACAAAAGUUCUUGUGUUGUAAGAAAAAUAAGAGUAGACAUAAAGUUCUUUGUAUUCGUGAUUUCAUUCAUGACUUGAGAUAAAAAAAUUGAUUGGUGAAAUAACAAAUAAGGAUUCUUGAACAUUUCAGAAGGUAACUUGAAAACUUUAUUUUUAUUAUCCUCGCAUUUUUUGAGAACCAAACAUAGCGUAUGUCUUUUUUUUGUUUUUUUGUUUUCUUUUUAUUGUCAAAAUUUGACUUUUUGUUAUAUAUUAAAAAUUGAAAUUUGCAAAACAAUGUUAAUGUUUAAUUUGAUAAAUAACCGUUACCUUUAGAAUCACCAUAAACAAAAAGAUAAAAACCCAAAUUAAAAAAAUAAGAAUAUAUGUUGAGAAUCAUUCUUUACAAUUAGUAUCUUUGAUCCUCUAACAUGCAAACCAAUGAAUUUAUUCCCCAAAUCAAUCUACCAAACUUUAAAAUAUUAUCAUACAACAAUACUCCUAUUUAAAAUAUUGAGGUCACAUGAACUUAAUUAAAGAAUUUGAACUUUUUUUUUCUAAAUCUAGUCAAUUAGGCAAGGAUAAGUGUAUUAAACCUUGGGUCUUUAUAAAUGAUCUAAUAGGGUCAAAGGGGUUUAGGGUUUACUUGUUGCUCUCCAACGAAAUGGUUGAAAGUCAAAUAAUUGUCAAAUUGUCUUUUUUUUUUUUUUUAAAAAAAAAUGUUAAAAAGAUUGUAAUGUUAUUGGCUUUAAUUUUAAGUGGUCUUUGAUAAAGUUAAAAAUUUAAGUAUUAAAGGUUUUAAUGAUAAAUUUUAAAUGUUGGAAAUAUAAGUAUUGAAAAUGUCUUUUAAAUUUUAAGUGUUAAAUUUGUUUUAAUUAUUUAAUAAAAUAAAAAAUUUUGAGUGUAAAAAUAAUUCAUUUUAAAAGUCCCCCAAAUGUCAUUUAGCUAAAAAAAAAAUGUAAAAAGUUGAAAAUGUCCUUAGACUAAAACCUCAAAAUUCAAGAACAAAGGUAUCAAGUGAACAAUGUUAAUACAAGUAUAACAUAAAUGCACUAUACUUUCAAUAUAAAUUUACGAUAUUACAAUAUAUUAUUACAUAGAUUUUGACAUGACCCAAUUUAGAAAGUUUUGAAUUUUUUUUAGAUGGUGCUAAUACAUUAGUUUGAUGUGUUAUUACAAAGGAUAAAAAUAUUGAUAAUCACAUAUAUAUCAGGACUUCGAUUUUACGGAUAUUUCGGAUAUAUCAAAUAUAUAUUGAUGGAUGUUUUGGAAAAAAAAUAUGAUAGACUUAAAAUUGAUCAAAAUUAAUGAAAAAUGUAAUAAAAACCUUAUAAACAUGUAAUUACAAAUAUAAUAGACAUUUUAAAGUUGUUUUGUUGAAGAAUUUGAUAUAUGUAUAAUGUGAUUUAUCAUAUUUGAUAAUAAAUCCUAUGCAUUGAUAAAAAAAUAUGAAUUUUAUAAGUGUAUACUUAUUAUUAAAUUAUAUCAAAUAUUAUUUCAUAAUAAUAUUGUGAUAUUUGAUUAUAAUAUUUUAAUUUUAAAAUUAUGAUUCAUUUAAUUCAAUUGUAUUAAAUGAUAUAAAAUAAAUUAUGAUAUCUGUAUAAUUUUUUAAUAUUUAAUUAAUCUAUUAAUGAUAUUAAAAACACUAUGAAGAAAAUUAUCAUGAUAAUUUUUAUAUUUUUGAUAAUCAAUUAAAUGAAACUUUUUUUAUUUAAUUAUAAAAUAAUUGUAAUUAAUUUGUUAUCUAAAAUAAUCUUUUAAUAUAUUUUUUUUAAUGAAUUUCAAUAUAAAUAUAUUCAAUACAAUAUAUUUAAGCUUGCCCUAAUGGUAGGCCAAGCCUUAGGUAAGCUUUUUGUUUGGGGUUCAAGCCCCCUUAACAGCAAGUUAGAAGACAAUUUUAAGCUUUAGAGCUUGUUGACCCGCAUUGACGAUCUAGAAAAAUCGGUGGUUAAUACUAAUGCUAAUAAAUAAAGUAAAUAGACAUUUUUAAGAUUAUUACUUUUAUCAUGAAACAUAUGUACGACAUAAAUGUACUACACUUAUGUUCUAAAUACAGUAACAUUACAAUAUAUUAUAACAAAGCUUAAUUUAAAAAAUUUUAGACUUCUUAAUAGAUCACCUCAACUCCAUAUUGAGGCUAGCUGAUCAAUACAUCUUUUUUUUGCUAGAAGUACUAUCAAGAUUGCUUUUGAAAGCUUUGAGAACAUAAGUGCUUGACAUAAAAAUGACUAUAUUUUUUUGUAUAUAUUUUUCAAUUUAUACUACGUUUUGUUAGCGAAAUAGGAUUAGACAAGAUAUGUAUAUCGUAGGAUAUUAUAUUUAAUUGGAUAAGAAAUGCAUAUUUUAGGAUAUGAUUUCCAAUGAAAUAUGAUAUAAUUGGAUAUUAAAUCCAAUGUACAUUAUAUCCUAAAGUAGAAUAUCCAAUGGGAUAUAUAAUAUUAUGCUUAUAAUUAUAUUCAUUAUUAAAAUAUUUAAACUUUAUAAAUAAAAACUUUUCGUAUUAUGUUAUUUAAAAUAAUUUAUAUAUACAUACACACAUAAUAAUAUGUAUAUUAAUAUUAUUUUAUACUAUACUUUAUAAAUAUUUUUUUAGUUGUUCCUUAAACCACAAAUUUAGUUUUAUAAUAAAAAAAUUUAUUUUGCAAAAAAAUAAAAAUAAAUUUAUGAUACAUAAUAUAUGUAUAUCCUAUAUCUUAUGUUAACAUUAAUAUAUCCCAUGAGCAAUGGAUAUAAAAAAGAUGGUAGAUAACAUUUCCCAAGCACAUAUCUAAUUCCAUGUUUGAUUAAACAUAAGAUGGGAUAAGUGAAGAGAUAAUUUAUCAUAUCCCAUCACCAACCAAAUAAUGAGAUAAAUAAUGUAUAAAAAAAAACAUGAUAUAUAUAUCAUAUCAUAUCAUAUCAAAUUUUCCAAUAUUUUGUAUUUUAAAAAAAAAAAUCUUAUGUUUCACAAUAUUCAUGAUUAAAAUAUUUAAAUUUUAUAAAUAAAAUUUUUAUAUAUUAUACUAUUCAAUAUGUAAAAAUAAUAUAUAUUAAAUAAUACAUAUAUUAAUAUUAUUUUAUAAAUACAUUUUUAAAUUUCUUUUAACUAUAAAUUUUAUUUAUUAUAUAAAAAGUUAAAAAUUGAUUAAAAAAAUAAAUUUAUUAUAUAUGGGAUAUACAUAUCCUAUAUCUUAACAUAAGAAUAACAUAUCUCAUGCAGAAAGGAUAUAAAAACGAGAAUGAAUAAUAUAUUAUAUCACUUACUCUAUUUCAUAUUUGAUCGAAUAUAAGGUAUGAUACGUAAUGAAAUAUUUAUCAUAUUUCAUUACCAACUAAACAUGAGAUAAAACACAAUAUAUUUUCUCUUAUUUUAUCUCAUUUUAUAUCCAACCAAUUAAACAUGACUUUGGAGAACAUCUAGAGAUAUUUUCAAAGUCUAAUUUAUCAAAAAAUCAUUAAAAACAAGAAAAAAUGAUUCGAUAUUUGAAGAUCUUGCAGGGGACGUUUGAAGAAUGAAGACUAAUGCGAUAUUUAAACAUUUUCUAGGGGGACGUAAUGUCCAUGCUCUAUUUUGUGUAUUGUACUCCAUCCUUUUACUUUCUUUCCGAAAUUUCACCACACUUUCCAAUAAUCACUUUUAAAAUUUUAAUACAUUCAAUGUGUAUGUCCUUUGAAUUCAAAUUAAUUCUAAAGCAACUUAAAAUCGACUUUAACCAAUAAAACCUUCGAAAGCAUGACACAUUGGAUUCAAUAUGGUAAUGAAAUAAAAUCAUCAAUCUAAUAUAAUACAUAAACAAUGUUAUUUCAUGAUAUACUAAUAAUAGACUAUUAUAGUUAUAUAUAUUGUUGAGCUUGGUGCCUAAGAGCGAGAUGGUUCCUAAGACUUCCAUUACUAAGAGUGGUGAUACUCCAAGUUUUAGGGCCUAUUUGGUUGCUGUUUUUGAAAACUGUUUUGCAAAAUAGUUUUUAAGAACAAUUUUUUGUGUUUUCAAAAAGAAUAUAUAUAUAUAUAUAUAUAUAAGUUUUUGUUCUAAAAAAAAAGAAAAAAUGUUUGGUUGAGUUAAUAAAAAAGUUUUUUAGAAUAAAAAAAACAUAUUUGAAAGUUAUUUUUUAAUUAAUAAAGUAUUUUCUUCCAUUAAUUUGAUAUUAUAAAUAUAUAAAUAAUUUUUAUAUGGAUAAUUCAUUUAAAUAAAAAAAAAUGAUUUCAUUUUGAAAAUUUUAGACUAGUUAUAAUUUCCUUAAACAAAUGAUGACUUUAUAAUCAUGUGUAAGUAUAUUAAUUUCAAUAAUUUAAGGAAGAAGAAAGGGUUUGCGGGUGGAGGUGUGGUGGUUGGGCAGAGCUCACCUUUAUGGAAACACAAAAAACAUCUAAGAAAACACAAAAAAGGAAGAAAAAACACGAAAAACAAUAUAUUUUUUGAACAGUGAAAAAACAAUGAAAACAUCUUUUUAUUGUUAUCAAAAAAGUAGUUUUUGAGAACACGGAAAACACAAAAAACAAAAACACACCCUCUUUCCUAAACAAGUUUUUUUUUUUUUGUAUUUUUUGUUUUCAAGAACAUAAAAUAGUUCUUGAAAACAUGAACCAAAUAGACCCUUAGGGUUUGUUUGGUAGCUGCUUUCGAAAACAAUUCUAAAAAAUAGUUUUUGAGAAAGUUUUUUUAAAAUUAUUCUCUAAUUUUUAUAAAACAAAAAUAUGUUUGGAAACUUAAAAUGUUUUAAAUAUAUUUUUAAUAUUUUUAAAUAUGUUUUAAAAAUAAUUUUUAUAUCUAUUGUUUUAUUUUUAAUAAUUCUACAUGUUUUUAUAAUUAUUUCUUAAGACAACCAUUAGAAAAAAAUAAAAAUAAUAUAAAAUAAUUAAAAGAUGUUAUUUGAGAACAUACUAUUUUCUAUUCUCAAUAAUAUAUAUAAAACAAUUGUUGAUUGUCAAACGUGUUUUCUAUAUUUUUUGUUAUGAAGAACAAAAAUUUUUUCUAAAAAACAAUUCCUGUACAGACCCUUAAGUUUUCCCUCUUCAAAUUGAUAAAUGGUAGUUUUUUCCAUUCAUACUUUCAUUCGUUCAUGUACAGAGUAUAUAUAGAGGGUAAUCACCAUUAUAAGAAUGGGAAGGAAUAAUACAAGGAAAGAAUGAUAUAAGGAAAUAACAACUAAUAUCCUAAUAUCUCAACUUUCCUAAUAUCUCAAUAUUCCUAAUAUCUCAAUAUUCUUAAUAUCUCAACUUUCCUAAUAUUUAAACAUUCCUAAUAUCUCAACACUAAAUAAUAUAAGGAAAUAAUGAUAUUCGGAAAGCAUUCCUAAUAUCUUAACACUCCCCCUCAAGUUGGUGCAUAGAUGUCACACAUGCUCAACUUGUCUAAAAAUUUUGAGAACACUUGACUUGAGACAGCUUUGGUGAGGAUAUCGGCCAAUUGAUCUUCUGAUCGAAUCUUAGGCAAUUCCACAAUCUUAUCAUCCAACUUUUCCUUAAUGAAGAAUCUAUCCACCUCGACAUGCUUUGUACGAUCAUGUUGUACUGGAUUAUGAGCAAUGUCACAUGCGACUUUAUUGUCACAAAACAAUCGGAUUGGUUGCCUAGAUAGGUAACCUAAAUCCUGUAAGAGAAGUCUUAGCCAUAAUGCCUCACAAAGUCCUAGAGCCAUACCUCUAAAUUCUGCUUCUGCACUUGAACAAGCGACGACAUUCUGCUUCUUACUUUUCCAUGUCACAAGAUUACCACAUACAAAGGUAAAGUAACCAGAUGUAGAUCGCCUAUCAUCCACUGCACCGGCCCAAUCAGCAUCAGUAUAUACUUCUAUACUCUGAUGAUUAACAUUUUUAGCAAACAAAAUUCCCUUCCCAGGAGCAUUCUUCAAAUACCUCAAAAUACGCAUAACUGCAUUCAUAUGUUGCUCUCUAGGAUUAUGCAUGUAUUGACUCACUACACUCAAUGCAUAAGCAAGAUCUGGUCUUGUAUGAGCUAAGUACAUUAAUCUCCCCACAAGUCUCUGGUAUCUUCCCUUAUCGGUUGAUACUUGAUUAGGCUCAACACACAAUUUUAGACCUUCUUCUAUUGGUGUAUUAACAGGUUGACAUCCCGACAUUCCAGUCUCCUGUAAAAGAUCUAAGGCAUACUUUCUUUGAGACAGAAAAAUUCCUUCACUUGAUCGAGAAACUUCAAUCCCAAGAAAGUAUUUUAGAUGACCUAGAUCUUUCAUUUCGAAUUCUUUAGAUAGAUAAUUUUGCAGAGCUUUUCUUUCUUUAGGAUCAUUUCCUGUAACUACCAUGUCAUCCACAUAUACGAUGAGUGCGGUAAUCUUACCAUGUUGCUUUUUCAGGAACAAAGUGUGAUUUGAAUUACUUUGACGAUAGCCAAAAGCUCUCAUUGACUUUGUGAACCUUCCAAACCAUGCUCUCGGGGAUUGCUUCAACCCAUAUAAUGACUUCUUCAAUUUGCACACCUUUUGACAUUGCUUUUCUGACACCAUGCAUCCUGGUGGAAGAUUCAUAUAUACUUCUUCAGAUAACUCGCCAUGCAAAAAGACAUUUUUCACAUCGAACUGUUGUAAUGGCCAAUCUAGGUUUGCAGCUAAAGACAAUAAUACUCGAACUGUGUUGAUCUUAGCUACAGGUGCAAAUGUCUCUGUGUAGUCAAUUCCAUAAGUUUGAGUGUACCCUUUUGCUACCAGUCUUGCUUUAAAUCGUUCAAUACUACCAUCUGCCUUGUACUUCACAGUAUAGAUCCAAGGACACCCAACUGGCUUCUUUCCUGGUGGACAUUCUACGAGUUCCCAUGUUUCAUUCUUCUGCAAUGAUUUCAUCUCUUCAUUCAUAGCUGCUUUCCACCUUGGGUCAGCUAAGGCUUCUUGCACACUGUUAGGAAUAGCUACAGUAGAUAAUUGAUUUACAAAUGACUUAUUUGAUUCAGACAAACGAUGGUUAGACACAUAGUUGCUCAUGGGAUAUUUGACUUUGGUAGACAAUUUAGGUUCAUAUGUGGGUUUAGGAAUACCUCUAUUAUGUCGGUGUGGUAACUGUUUCAUGAAUGGAUCAGGUUCCAAAUUAAGAACACCUUCAACAGACGACGAUUGGUUUGGUAUUUCAGUGAAGACAUCUUCAGACCUAAAUUGUUGACCACUCAUAUCCAACUCACCCGCUUUUUGGUUCACUAGUUCAGAUUGUCCAGAUUCAUUCUCCUCAGAGAUAUGAUAAUCAUAAUUGAGAGUCUGAAUUUUCUUAUGGUACUCCCCCUGAAGUUCAGACUCAGAUGAAAAAUACAUCGAAUCUUCAUGAAACACCACAUCCAUUGUAAUAUACAUUUGUCGAGUUGGAGGAUGGUAACAUUGAUAUCCCUUUUUGUGCAAUGCAUAUCCAACAAACACACAUUGCAAUGCAUGGGAAGUUAACUUGGUGCGUUGGUGUUUGUGUAGAUGCACAAAUGCCACACAACCAAAAACAUGAGGAGGUAGAUUUGGGAUAGUUGGGGCAACUACGGCAUUAGUAAGAGCUUGGAGAGGUGUUUGGAAGUUAAUUGAGCUGGAAGGUACCCGAUUGAUCAAGUAUGCGGCAGAUGUGAUUGCUUCUCCCUAAUAAGAUAUCGGUGUUUUUGCUGCUAUCAAGGAAGCACGAACAACCUUUAACAAGUGCCGAUUUUUCCGUUCAGCGACUCCAUUUUGCUGGGGUGUAUUGGAACAAGUAGUCUGAUGAAUGAUGCCAUGUCCUUCCAAAUACUUUUGAAGAUCAGAACUUUGAUAUUCUCCACCAUUAUCACUAUGCAGAACCCGAACCUUUGCAUUGUACUGAGUUUCAAUCAUUUUAUGAAGUUUUUGAAACAACAAGUUCACUUCAUCUUUGGUCUUCAUCAAGCAUAACCAUGUCAUUCUGGUACAAUCAUCAAUAAAAGUAACAAACCAACGUGAGCCACUCAAAGUUGGGACUUUGGAUGGGCCCCAAACAUCAGAAUGUAUAACCAUAAAAGGAAACGAACUUUUGUUCAAAAUUAACGGAAACGAAACACGAUGGCUUUUAGCCAAUUCACAAAUAUCACAACGGAAACCAGAAAUAUCACUCUUUGCAAACAAACUAGGAAACAAUUUUUUUAAAUAACCAAAGGAAGCAUGUCCCAAACGUCGAUGCCACAACCAAAUUUCAGACUUUUUCUUCUCCCCCUCAGAUCCAUCUGCCAUCAAGGCUUGUUGCAACUUAUUUGAAUCCUUUGACUGCAAGUCCAAGUAAUAGAGUUUUCCCCGCUUAAUACCACAACCAAUCGUCUGUCUUGUUUGGAUGUCCUUAAUCACACAAAAUUCAGGCCAAAAAAUGACAAUACAAGAUAAGGCUGCGGUGAUUUGAGAAACUGACAAAAGAUUGUAAUCUAAAGAUGGAACAACUAAAACAGAAUCCAAAUUCAAAGUAUAGUAAGAGUUAAGAAUCCUUCCCCAAUUACCAUUGGCUGUGGAAACAAUUUUUUGUGAGGAAGGUCUAAGGGGUGAAACCUGUCUAGAAUCAAAAGUCAUAUGAUCUGUAGCACCAGAAUCAAUUAUCCAUGCACUAUUAAUAACAGGUGUAAAAGUAUUUAAAAACUUACCACCAUGAUCUGUAGCGGCUACCAAUGCAGAGGCUUUCUCAGCAACAUUAGCCUCUGUUUUUAUUUCGGCAACAGUUGCAAUCGAGGUUUUCUUGGAAUCCUUCUUCCGUUGAUCACGAUUAUUAUCAUUAAUAACAAAGUGUUGAUAGCCUAAACAUGAUCUAAAGGUCCAUGGUUCAAACCCUCGGUUCCUCAUUGUUUUCCUGGUCAUACCAAGAGUCGUUGCUUUGAAAUUGUGGGAUAUCCAGACUGGUGGGACUAGUCUUAUUGAAGUGAGUGCAUUUGAAGGUUGACUUAUCAAUAUUAGGGCUUGUCUUAGGAUGGUUGAUCGUUGUCGGACUACCAUAGCGACAAAAUAUCCAGGAUUUCAGUUCCAUGGCUCUGAUACCAUCUUCAAAUUGAUAAAUGGUAGUUUUUUCCAUUCAUACUUUCAUUCGUUCAUGUACAGAGUAUAUAUAGAGGGUAAUCACCAUUCUAAGAAUGGGAAGGAAUAAUACAAGGAAAUAAUGAUAUAAGGAAAUAACAACUAAUAUCCUAAUAUCUCAACUUUUUUAAUAUCUCAAUAUUCCUAAUAUCUCAAUAUUCUUAAUAUCUCAACUUUCCUAAUAUUUAAACAUUCCUAAUAUCUCAACACUAAAUAAUAUAAGGAAAUAAUGAUAUUCAGAAAGCAUUCCUAAUAUCUUAACAUUCCUUUGAUUUUUCUUUUCUUUUUUCUUUUUCUUUUUAUUUAUUUAUUUCAGUUUUCUUUCCACUUUUCAAUAUGGGUUUUUAACAUUUUGGCUAAUUAAUUUCCAUGAGCAAAAUCCCUAAAACAAUGCACAUAUUUCAUAUUUUUUAAUAAUUUAUAUGACAUAUUAAUAAUAAUAAUAAUAAUAUAUUAUUAAAGAACAUUAGUCUAUUACUACUACUACUAAAUAAUUUUAAUUUUAAUAAGUAAUGAUAGAAUAAUUAUAUUAGAUAAUUUUUUUAUGAGAUAUUUAAAAAUACAUAAAGACAUCGAAGUAAGGAUUGUGAGAGUAUAUUAACUUUAUGCAAAACAAAAUUGCAAAAUAAAAAAAAUCCUAUUUGACUGGAAUUGAAAAUAAAUAAAAAUUAUUUUUCUAGCAUUUGAAUUUUUUAAAAAGGGUUUUCAUUAGUUUAAGUUCUGGAAUUAUUUUUUAAAAUAAAAAAUAUUUGUCAUGUUUUGAAGAAUCCAUCAUUUUUACCUUAUUCUUCUUCUUUUUUUUUUUUUUUUAAUUGCCCACAAAUAUUUAGAAUUAGGGGAGGGACAUUUAGUUAAUUUGGGAUGGAAAAAUUUUGAUUUCUCAAUUUUUGAAAUUGGAUUCUUUGAUUUUGGAGGAGAAUUCCAUUGCUCUAAUUGGAGGAACCAUUUCCCACAAAUAUUUGGUGGGAUCCACUCCACAUUUUCAUUCCCAAGAUACUAAAAAUCCACUUUACAUUAUAUUAUAAAAAUUAUAAUUUAAAUAAUUUCAAUUUCAAUUUCAAUUGUAAAAUAAUUAUAUUAUAUAACUUUUAUAAGACAUUUACAAAAUACAUAAGUACAUUUUUUUUUUUACAAAAACAAAUUAAAUUUAGAAAAUUUUAAACAAAAAACAACCUUAAUAAAUUUAAAAAUAAAAAAAGGUUAAAUACAUUUUACUUCCUCAACCUUUUGCUUGCUUUACAUUUUAUCGCGUCACAUUCAAAAUUCAGUACCUUACUUGCUAAACUUGUUAAAGAGUAACACUUCAACAUUGUUUACAAACCUUAUAUAUAUAUUAUUUAAGAGAUUACUCUUUUUCAAAUAUGGUUCGAAUUUGAGUAGAACCAACUUUAAAUUGGUAGUCUUCUAGUUUUUGCAUGUGGCUUCGAAGUGUGGCAACUUUGAACUUAGAUAAUAGGUAUUUUUAUAUUUAUUUAUUUUACAUUUCAAUCUUAUUUCUUCACUUAACAAGCUACUAAUUUACUUUUGGGGGUAAAAUGUUGUUCUUUAACAAGUUUCACGAUCAAAAUGUUGCUCUUUCAUAAGUUGGAGGGCGAAGUCAUGGAUUUUGAAUGUAAGAGGACAAAGUAUAAAAAUGCAAAAGAAUAAAGGAGUAAAAUGUAUUUAAACUCAUUCCAUUCUUCUUCUCUUCCAAAAAAAAAAAAAAAGGUGUAUGGUUCUACCAAGGAGUUUGGAUGACUAGAAGUUAGAGGACGCAAAGACAUCCAUACUAUGGAAAUAGGUUUAGCCUUUUUAUUUGUUUUUACUUCCAAUUACACUUAAACUCAUCUAAUAUUGUGAUAUCCCAUAUAGAAUAGCCUCCCUCUAAACUCAUCUAAUAUUGUGAUAUCCCAUAUUUGGUAGGGGUAUGUAUGAUUUUCUCUUAACCAAGGUAUUUGUUUGUCUAGCCUCACAAUCUUAUGCACACAAUGUGAACGUUGUAUCUGCAUGAGUGGAUAAUUGUGAUAUUCUACAUCGGAGAGGAGAUGAUUAUGAUAUUCCACAUUGAAAAGAGGAUGAUUGUGAUAUUUCACAUUAGAAAUGGGAUGAUCGGGAUAUCCCAUAACGGAGAGAAGAAAAAGUUUUUGAUAUUAUAAAUGUAUGAACUUUUCUAAAUCAUGUACGCAUUUUAAGUUGUGAAGGUCUAUUAUCAUCAAAGCAAACAAUAUCUAUUUAAGAGGAAGUCGACUAUUACAACAUAUAUCAAAGACAAUCUCAGCUUUGAUUGAGCUUUUGUUUAUUUGACUCUGCAAGAUGUGUUUACAUGAGAGGGAGUGGUUAUUACAAAUAUGCUAAUAUAUAUUAAAAAUUUUAAAAUAUAGAUUAGGUGUUGAUUAAAAAUUGUAAGUAAUAAAAAUAAAAUUCAUUAUAAAUUUAAAACUACAUGUUUAUGUUAAAACGCUAUGUCAAUUUUAAAAUUAGUUAGCUGACUAUAUAAUUUAUUGGAAAAUAAGAUACAAUUUAAAUUUUUUUUAGAUGUGAAGAACACUUCUAAUAUUUUUAUGGUUUUUAGAUAAAGUCACUAGUAUCAUGAAAAUGUGAUCCUAGAUUUUCCAUGCAAUACUAGACAUGAGAUAGAUUUUCCAAAGAAUAAGACUUUUUUUGAAGAAGCUAAUUCAUUUGGAACCCUGCAGGUCCAUUUUUUUUCCUAUUCAAAGACGGCUCCCUUUGUCUUUGUUUUCACAUCGAGAAUUCUUACACCAAGAAACAUAAUAGAUUUUAGAAAUUUUCAUCAUUCAUAACCAUAACAUUUGAUACUGUAAUUAUUCACAUCCAACCGUAUAAAUAUUGUCCACUUUGAACCCAAAAAGAUCCUCAUGACUCUAAUAUGUAAAAACGCAACCUGAAAUUUAGUUUAUGUUUUAAUAUUUUUUAGUUUGAGUGAGUUGAACCUAGUCUUUGCCUUAUCUUAAUGUGAGUGAGAAUAACUUGAUCAUCAUAAAAAUAUAUUUAAAGUUCAAUAAAUAAUUUUUGUUUAUUACUUUAAGUUUAUUUUACUUAUUUUAAUUCUUUAAUAUAAAAAUAAAAUAAUUUUAAACUCUAUAAAAUUUUAAUUAUAUUUAAUAUUUUUUAAAAUUAUUUUUCUCAAUAUUUGUUUUUCUUUCCUUAGUAGUUUCCUGGACUACACCCAACCUUAUGUGGCCCAACGAUAAUCCCUUCAAGUCUAACAUUGCCAUUUUCCCUCUAGCAAUGGAGCAAAAAAUCAAGUACAAGAAUCCAAUUCUCAAAAGUAACAAGCCAAACAACCCCUACAACAAAAUUUCAGCAAAAUAGCUACAAAAAAAAUAUUAGAUCUAUACAAAAUUUAACAACAACUAGAGACUUCCACAACUGAUCAAAUAUCAUUGGCAAAAAAUAAUACUUACCAUAAAGUUCUAAUAAUAUAUCUUGAUUUCACUAAAAUUUUAAAAUAAAUAAAUUUUUUAAUACUCAUAUUUUUUUCUUUUAUUUUUCUAUAUAUAUAUAUAUAUAUUCUAUUUUGUCAUUUUUUAAAUAAAAUUGAUUGUUUUUAAUUUUAUAUCGUGGAUCCUAUAUUUUAAUUAUAUAGGAAUUUUCAAAAUUUAUUAGAGAAUGAUAAAUUCUUUAAAAGAAUUUUAAAGGCAGUUUACUAUAAAAAUAAUUUAAAAUUUUAUGAGUUUCUUAGUAGUUUUUGAAAUCUUUUGGAAAUUUCCUCUAAAUGUUCUUGAUUAAUUUUUAUUUUUAUAAAAUUUUAAUUUCUUUUCAAUAUUUCCCAUAUUUUGGUUAUUUAUUUGAUAUAUUAUCAAAAUUAAUAUUUAAAAUUAAGUGAUAAAUAUCAUUAAUUACUCUUCCAAGCGAAAGUUACUAUUGAUCUUCACACAAAUGCUAUCGUAAGGGUUUAAAUAUAGUAAUAGCUUAAACACAUCAACAAGCUGGAAUAGCUCAGUUGGCUAGAGCGUGUGGCUGUUAACCACAAGGUCGAAGGUUCAAGCCCUUCUUCUAGCGAUUUUUCACCUUUUUUUUAAAAUUAUUUUAUCUGUCAAUACAAUUUUGAAUUUUUUUAAAAAUAUUUUCAUUGAUUGAGUUUACCAUAUAGUUUAAUAAUACAUAAACUCAAUAUAUUUGUUAAAAAUAAGGUUCUUCCAAUGAUUUUUACCAUAUAAUUUAAAAAACAACUGAAUAUACUUUUUAGAAAUAAGGUUCUUCUAGCAAUUUUUUCCUUACUCUAAAAAAUAUGGUUCUUCAUACCCUUCUCCUAGAGAUUUUUUUUUUUUUAAAUACAUUUAUUUAAAAAUAAUUUUCUUUAAAAUAUUUUGAUUGAUUGAGUUUACUGUAUAGUUUAAUAGUACAUAAACUCAAUAUGUUUUUUAAAAAAUGAGGUUCUUUUAGUGGUUUUUUCCUCUCUUUUUAAAUACAUUUAUUUAAGGGACAAUUGUGUUUUGGGGCUUAGCUGGGACCAAAAAUUAAGCUUUGGUCUAUAUAAGUUGCAUAAUUAAUUGAGAAGAUAUAAAAUAUGAACCAUUCAAAACUAUUUUCUACUACAAUGUUUGAUAAAUUUUUUGAUCUUAUUUUUUUUAAUAAUUAUUCUGAAAAUUUAUUAUUUUUAAAAAACUAAUUUUUUAAAAAAUAUAUUCUAAAAAUAUAUCAUUUAAAAAAAAUAAAUUUGACAUAUUUUUAGUUAUUUUCUAUAUACACAAUUUUAAAAAUAUAUAUUUUCCAAGAUGUUUGAUUUUUAAAUAAUAAUAAUAAUAAUAAUAAUUUAUUUUUAUUUUUUAUUUUUGGAAAAGGGUGUAUUUUUUUCCAAAUCACUAAAUUAUAUUAAAUUUUAUUGAGGUUUACAAAAUGAAUAAAAUUUAGAUUAAUAAUUUUCUACUUUUUUUUUUCCAUAGUGAGCAAAUGUCAUUUUUGAAAAGAUAAAAAAUUCAUAUCAUUCUUCUCAAUUUUAACACUUUUUUUGGGUCUUGGACUUAAAUAGUGAACUUAUAUGGACCAAAGCUUAAUUUUUGGGCCCAACUGGGUCCAAAACUCAAUUGUCCCUUUAUUUAAAAAAUGACUUUUGUUAAAAUAUGUUGAUUGAUUGAGCUUAUCAUAUACUUAUAUAUAUAUAUAUAUAUAUAUAUAUAUAUAUCAAUGUUCAGUUAAUUUCAAUUUUGAUGAUAACAAAACAAAGUUUGAAACUAAUGUUUUUUAUUAAGUGUGCUUAGGUAAAAAGAUUUCUAAAGUGACAAUUUUAAAGAUAAAAUAAAUCAAAAAGAAAUUUAAGAAGAAAAUGAAGAUCUUAAAGAAAAGUAUUUUCAAGAUCUAAAGCUUUUUAGGAUCAUUUUGUAAGGUUGUUGGCACACUAGGAUCAUACAUCUUAUUUUUAUUUAUUGAAACAUAAAAAAUCAUCCAAAUAUUAAUUUGAUUUAAACAUUUUUACAAUAAGAUGUCUCUUAUUUUCAUUUAAAACCUUGAGCUAAAUAUUUUCUAAAUUUCUUAAAAGGUUUUAAAAGGGGUUGCAUAAGUUGUUGAAGGUUCUAGACUUAAAACCGAAAUAUUUGAACAUUUCAUGGUGCAAUCGGUCAAGGGUUUAGGGAAUCGGUUGAGCUGGUUGUACUCGAUUGAUUGAGGGAUGUUUUUACACAGUCUCUCUCUCUUUCGGUAACUUAGUGGUGUUGACAGAGGUUUUGUCUUUCUCAGUCGAGGCAUUGAAAUCCAACAAUCACUUGCCAAAGCAUUAAUUGCUAAUGGCUAGUAAAUUGAUCGAACUGGUUCUUAGUCGGUCAAACCCCCAAACACACCUAACGACUAAUUUGGGUUUUCCAACCUUAUAAAAAGGCUCCAAACUUUAUUGUUUUUAAAGACAAGAGUUUUAAAUCUUUUAUGAACAUUAUUUGAGCCUUAGAGAGUGUUUUUUAGUGCAUCAUAUUUCAAAACUUUCAUAUUAUUAGUGCAUCACUAAAUCCUAGUUUUUCUUUGUAUCAUUUAAGCUUGAAUUUGUACUAGGAUUUUGCAAGAUUAUCUUUCUAUCAUGAGAAAAUAAAGGCUAUGCUUAAUUAAAAAAAACCCAAUUCACCCCCCCCCCCCCCCCCCAUUUUUGGGUGUUUUUCUUAAUUAAGCAUAACCUUUAUUUUCUCAAUUGGUAUAAGAGCUAGACCUUUUGCUUAAGACUUAAUCAUUUAAGAGGAAAUGACUAUUCCAUUAAGCUCAUCUCAAACUGAAAAUUUUGUAAAACAUAGAGCUCCAUUUUUUAUGGGAACCGACUAUCCCUAUUUGAAAACUAGAAUGACUUGGUAUUUACAAUCUACCGAUUUAGACGUAUGAGAUGUCAUUGAAGAUGACCUAACUUUUCCUACUAAACUAGUUGAUGGAGUCUUGGUUCCAAAACCCAAGCAAGAAUGGAAUGAGCUUGAUAGAAGAAAUUUUCAAUUAAAUGCUAAUGCUGUUUUUACUUUGCAAUGUGCUAUGGAUAGAAAUGAAUAUAAUAGAAUAUGUUAAUGCAAAUCAGCUAAAGAAAUUUGGAGAUUACUUGAGAUAACUCAUGAAGGAACAAAUCAAGUGAAAGAGUAAAAAAUUAAUUUACUUGUUCAUAACUAUGAAUUGUUUUCAAUGAAAGAAAAUGAGACUAUUGUUGAGAUGAUUACUAGGUUUACUGAUAUUGUCAAUGGUCUUGAAGCUUUGGGAAAAACCUACAAGGAAUCUGAGAAGGUGAUGAAGAUAUUGAGGUCACUCCCUUCAAAGUGGCAUACUAAGGCCACCGCAAUUCAAGAAGCAAAAGACUUGACUAAGCUACCUAUGGAAGAACUCAUAGGGUCAUUGACCGAAAUUCUCUAUUGUACCAAAAUACUUAGCCUUUUUACGUAGUAACUCUGGUCAAGAAAAACUAGAGAAAGAGUCACUACGACUUUUGUAGUAUUGCGGGUAUCGUUCUCAAGGACUGGCUUAUGAAAAUUGUCAAUACUAGAAUAAAUGAAUUGUUUUUGUUUAAAUCUUUAAGUGAAAAAAAAUAUGUGAAUAAUGUGAUACUAAGUAAGAGAAAUUAAAUUAAUAAGAGAAAAUGAAUAUUGAUUUUAAAUUCAAUUGAUUCAAGUUUGGGGUUUUCCACAAUCCAACCUAGGGUAUAGAAAUUAGAGAAAACAAGGGUAUUUUAAGUAAUAUGAUCUUAGGGUUUUGGGAUCCUUGGCCACUCGCGAUCAAGUUGAGUUCUAUAACUCAAAAUUGCAUCCGAAACCUAAUUUUUCAUUUUUAAAACAUAUUCCUAAAACCAUCAAAUGAAUGAGAUUGAUUAUCAAUUUAAGAUUUGACUUUUUAACCCUUCUUACUCUUUAUAGCUUUGUUUAGGGGCAAAUAAUGGUAGGUAAGACGAAGAUAACUAAUGAUCAAGAAUUACCAAGAAUCACUAGUAUCAAGUAAUAACCUACCGUAUCAUUCCCUACACGAACUCACAAGGAUAGGAUAAAAAAAAAAAUGAUAAAUUGUCACUCAACCAAUAAUUAAUCUCAUUGUUAUAAUAAUUUACCCAUUGUCCUUAUAGGUUUCCUAGCCCUUAGGUUUUCAUGCUUCAAGCCCCAAUUUGGCUCUUAGCCUCUCAUGGGGGUGAUGUCACAUUCACAAUCCAUAAUAGGGUAAAAAUCCAUAAUUUGAAUCAAAAGAAACUAAAAACAAUAUAUUUAAUAAAGAAGAAAAAGAAAACAAACCAAAGUUCUCGUCUUCUUCUACCUUCAAUGUCAAACUCUCCAGAAAAAAAAUCCAAGAUCCUAAAACCUAGAAUUGAGAGAGUUUAUAUAAUAUCCUCAAUUACCUAACAUGUGACACACUCUCAUUGGCCACUUAUUACAAAAUAAUUUCCUAAAAAUGAUUAAAAAAUAAUAAAAUGGUGAUUUCUAGUCGUGUGGAGUCCACCUAGGGCGGAUGGAGUGCUUUAGAUGCAAUUCCCGAGGUAGAGGAGGUGGAACAUCAAAGUGGCAGUGGGUGAAUUCGAAAUUGGUGUCAUUUCGAAGUGGAUUUCGAAUUCAUAAGUUGAAUUUCGAAAUCAUAAGUUGAAUUUCGAAAUCAUUUCGAAAUGACCCUCCAGCUUGGUGCAGUUGUCUUCAAAUGGCCAUAACUUCUUCAUUUCAGCUCCGAUUUGCAAACCGUUUAAAGAGUUGGACUCCUGACUUCCCGAGCUUCGAAACAAUAUAUAGUAUGUAUAUAAUGGACUCCAGAAAGUGCUCCAAAUUUUUCCUCAAAGUCAGAGUAUAUAAUGCCAUUAGAUUUUUGAGUUCCAAAUUUCCAUGCAGCUAAAUCUUGCUUCAUGCCUCAUUUCCCAUGCUUUCUUACCUUCUUUAUUACUCCAUAAUGGUCAUUUAUCAUCCUCCAACCUCAUGAUAUCCUUGUUUUGCCUUUCCUUACGUUCAAUGAGUCUUGACUCACUUAUUUCCUCAUUUAGCCCUUUCUUGAUCUUUCAAAAUCUAAAGUCAUUCAAUUUGCACAAUUUUCUUCCUUUGAACCUGAGAUAAAUCUCCAAAGUAUAGAUUAAACUCAUGGCUAGGGCCUUAGCAUUGAUUUAGGUCAAGUUGGGUGAUUUGAAUGUCCUUUGGUGCACAAAUCAUAUCGAAUAUGUGCCAUUAGAGCACAUAUUUUGGCUCCAAUCAGUCAUUGAUGACUUAUGAGAUAAAUUUGAACAAUCAUAAAAAAAUUGAAGAAAAUAAGAAAAGUAUAGCUUUUAUGGCUUCAAUAAAUGAUGAUGAAGAAGAAGAGAGUGAAAGUGAAAGUGAUGAAGACUCCAUGGAAGAAGAAUGCACAAAUGAGGAUGCUAACAUGUGCUUUGUGGCUUUGGAAGAACAUCAAGAUGAGGUAAACUCCAACUCUAACCAUUUUGAAUUUCAAGAUGUACUUCAACAAUUAUAUUUUGAUAUUGAAAAACUUGGUUUCAAAAAUAUCUCCCUCAAGAAAAAGAUUUCUUGUCUUCAAAAUGAGCUCAAUGAGCAUAAGGGAAAUUUGAAAAUAUUGAGAAGGAAAAAAUCUCUUUUGGACAGGAAAAUGAGGAGUUAAAAAUUCUCAAAUGGUCAAAAGACUUUUGAUAUGAUUUUGGCAAAUCAAAAGUGCAUUGAUAAAAAUGGGCUAGGAUACAAGCCUUUCAAAAAUCAAAUUUUUUUAAGAAUUAUUUUGUAAAGGAAGCCUCUAAUUUUUCACCUUCAACUAUUUGCAAUCUUUGUGAGGAGGUCACAUUAGUGAUAUUUAUCCCUUAAGAAAAUCCUCUCAUGUUUUUCAAAACUCUAAAUUAUUUUGGAUUCCAAAGAGAAGAAAGACUAACUCUCUAGGACCCAAAAAGAUAUGGGUAUCAAAUGUUAUUUAAUUUGUUUUGUAGGGAUCCAUGCAAGAAGGAGGAUAUGCUUACCUUGGAAAGAAUGCAUUGAUGAUAUUGGUAAUGAUAUCCCUUCUAAAGCUUAAUUUGCAAUAUCAUUUGGCUAACACUUGGUAUAUUUUUUGUUAAUAAUAUAACAUUUGGUAUCACUUUGAUAAAAUUGGUAUAUUUGUUAAACCAAGGUUUGGAUUAAAAAGAAGACCUUUUUUAUACCUAGGUAAAAUUAAAUGAUCAUAUACUUGUAUGCCCUAAAAGUGUUAUUCAAUGCAUGUUAUAUAUCUUUUUAAAUGCAUAUGUUCUCCCAUAUAUUUUUUCCAAAUCAUGCUUCAAAUUGGGAAUGCUCUAAGGAUGAGCAAUAUUUUAUUUGGAAACUAUUCUCAAAUGAAAAAUGGGGAGAUUCAUUUUCAUGAGGAAUUAUAUUUUUGAUAUCGUGUGAUUCCCCUUAUAUACUUUAUUGAAACUUUUUGUUGAUGACAAAAAAGGGGAGAAGUAAUGGUAGGUUGCUAACUUGGGAAGAAAUGCCAAUAUUGUUUUAGCAAUUCUAUUCAUAUUGAUGCUGUGUGCUUUAUUGGUUAUAAUUGCAUGCAUCAUAUUUAAUAAUAAUGUAUUGCCAAAUUGCUAAAUUGCUCUUUAUGCUAUAUAUGUUUGAUUAUAUUUUUUUUUGAGUAUCCUUAAUAUACUCUUUGAAGUUUCUAAACUUGAAUAUUUUCUAAAUUUAAAAGAGCAUAUGAUUACUACUCAAAAAGUGCUAUUUGAUAGCUUGUAAUUAACUCUUUUAAACACUUUUGAGUAGUAGUUAUUGCCUUUUAACCCAAUUAACAUAUUAAGGACCUUUGCAAGAGCUUCUAAUCAAUUUGUGUUAAGUUUUGGUGUUUUGAUAGCUUUUUAAUCACCAAAGCAAUAUGAGAUUGAGGAGAGUUACUUGGAAUCCAUGGAAAAGCAAUGGAAAGCUCAGAAACAUGAAGAACCAAAGCUUUGAAGUCCUUUGCCAUAAGCAAAUCCGGAAUGCAAGGAGGGGAAGUAAAGAGAAAUCUGCCAUGGAGCAACUCUUGAUGACAGUCAUGUCAGCCACUUUUGGAGCACUUCCUGAAGUCCAAGUUAUGCAUGCUAUAUGUUGUUUCGAAGAUCAGGAAGUCAACAAUCCAAUGCUUCAAACGGUAUGCAAUUCGGAGUUGAAAUGAAGGAGUUACAGCCAUUGCAAGCAGAUCACUCCAAGCUGAAGGAAGAAUUUUGCACAGCGCUGCGAAAUCACCCUUUUGUUGCGAAAUGAUUUCGCAGCCUUUUUGUACAGUGCUGUGGAUUUCCCCCUGAAGUUUCCCGUCACGUUUGAAGCCGAACACCGCAAGCUGAAAGACCACUUUGCAGCGUUGCGAAAUCAACCGGUUGCUGCGAAGUGAUUUCGCAGCCCUUUUUGUGCAUCUGCGAAAUCUCGCAUACCUCGUUUGCACCUGCGAAAUGGUCCUUAGUGCUUCCCGAUAUUUACGACCGACACUUGGAGAUAUUUUUCAUCAGAUUUUUGUUGUCUAAAUCCCAAAAUUCUCCUUGUAAGUCACCAAUUAUAAGAUUCCUUAGCUUUUAAGUUAGGAAAAAGAGUAAAUAUCCAUGUAAUAGUUGUUAUUGUAAUUUUUCACAUAAAUAGCUCUGGGGAGCCUGUUCUCAAGGGACGAAACUUUUUGUAAAAGUUUGUAAGGAAGCAAAAUACAGAGCUUAGCUUUGCCUUACCUUCUCACUUUGAUUGUAUUUUUUAUUUACUAGUUAUGAAUUCUCUGAGGGAGUUUCCCCAGAGCAUGAGUAACUAAACCUUUAGUUCCUUGGAGUUAAGGUUGCCGGGAAAGGUUCCAAGUGCAUGAAUUAGUAGCUUUGUGGUUUCAGCCAUGAAUGAAGAGUAAGUGUGAUCCUUUUGUGAUUUCUAUAUGUUUUUAUUUAACUUAAAACGCCUUAGAGUCACCUGGGCCAACACUUGGUAAGGCAAGUGAUCUCCGUCCAAGGAGAUACACUAGUUUACCCCUUGCGAGCCUCUGGGAGGUGACUUGAAGGUAGGAUUUUCUAGAAUUUCCAACACUUGGUAAGCUUUUGGACUCCAAGGAGACAUCCAUUAGUUAUCUCUUGCGAGCUUUUGAAGGGAAGUCCAAGGUUAAAGAUCAUCUUGAAUGGUAAGUGCUAGUGAGAGGCAUGAACCGUUGCAAGUUGCAUCAGUGAGAGGGAAUUAGAGCUGAAAUCCAAUUAAGGGAUGCAUUUAUACAGCACAGAUUAGAGGAUUGACUUUAUGUUAAUUCUCUAAUGUGAGGAAAUGAACCAAUUGACCGGAGCUAUGUUUUUGCAUGAGGAACCUCCCCUGUGAACCUAAAUCUCCAAGGAAUGUUUUUCUUCAUAAGUAAUUUCCAGUACUUGUUUUGCCGUUAGCUUAAAUCUAAAUCUUUUUCAACCAAAGUUUGUGUUUUAUUUUUUAAGCUAACCUUGAAAUGAAAAAGCACCAAUUCACUUUGAAUUGGUAUCAUUUGUAAUUUGGAAACCCUUCCCAGUGAACGAUCCUAGAGCCACUAUGCUAUAGUAGCUUUGUCUUUGCUACCCUAGUAUAUGGUGUAAUAGGUUAUAAAUUUUGUUGAUUACUCCCUUAAUCAAAGAGCACCAGCUGGACACGAAUCAGCUGAGACACCAAUUGGGCACGAAUCAACAUAUAUUGAGGGGGAGCUUUUUAGCAACCUUGGUUUUGUCAUCAUAAAAAAAGGGGAGAUUGUGAAACCAAGGUUUGGUUAAUCCUAGUUUUGAUGAUAACAAAACAAGGUUUAGAACAAAUGAUUAUAUUUCAAGUGUGAUUAGGCAAGACGAUUUCCAAAGUGACAAUCACAAAGACAAAUCAAGCCAAGGAGAAAUCAUGAAGAAGAAGAUCACCUCAAAGAGAAGUGUUUUUCAAGACUCAAGCUUCAAAAAAUCUCUUUGUAAGGUUGUUGGUGCACUAGGAUUUUCAUGCAUUACAUUCUUUACUUAUGCACCAAAACCAUCCAAGAGUUAUUUUGUUUUGAAUAUUUUAAACUUUUGAUGAUUUCAUGUUUUCAACUAAAACCUUGUGUCAAAUGUCUUUCCAACUUGUUUAAAAGGUUUUAAGUUGAAGAUGCUAGUUUUUUUUAGCCAAAAACGGCUCAAACGGUUGAAUCAGAUGAGGAACUGAUCGACCGCCAAUUCAAUUGGUCGAGGUCCGGGUCAACCCCCAGCUCAAUCGGUCAAGUGUAUGAAUAGUAACCGGUCGAUCCCCAGCUCAACCGGUCGAGGGUGCAAAAAACUUUCUCUUUCUUCCAAAACGGUUGUUCAACCGGUCAAGGUUGAACCUCAACUGGUUGAGGUUCGGUUGACCGGUACCUCAUCCAGUUCAACCGGUUGAGCCGUUUUUGGCUCAAAAAACUAGCAUUUUCAACUUAAAACAUUUUAAACAAGUUGGAAAGACAUUUGACACAAGAUUUCAGUUGAAAACAUGAAAUCAUCCAAUUUUUAAAAUAUUUAAAACAAAAUAACUCUUGGAUGAUUUUGGUGCAUAAGUAAAGAAUGUGAUGCAUGAAAAUCUUAGUGCACCAACAACCUUACAAAGAGAUUUUUUGAAGCUUGGGUCUUGAAAAACACUUCUCUUUGAGGUGAUCUUCUUCUUCAUGAUUUCUCAUUGGCUUGAUUUGUUUUUGUGAUUGCCACUUUGGAAAUCGUCUUGCCUAAUCACACUUGAAAUAUAAUCAUUAGUUAUAAACCUUGUUUUGUUAUCAUCAAAACUGAGAUUAACCAAACCGAGCUUCCUCACACAGAGAUACCAUCUCAGGUACCUCACGCUCCUGAUCAUGCCUCUUGGAUGGAUUUAUCUACUCAGAUCAGUUCACUUGGCACUCAUAUGGAGGAGCUCACAAUAGUCAGUGAUACUCAAUUCUAUUCUAUGGAGGAUCGCAUGGAUCAGUAUCAGACUGGCUUCACCUCUCAGUUUGAGCAUCUGCAACAGAGAUUUGAGCUUAUAGAGGAGCGUAUGGUUCAACAUCAGACUACAUUUGAGCAUCUCUAGCAGAGUAUUGAGCGCAUCGAGAGUCGCCAGGAGAGUCAGCAUGAGGAGAUGGUGGCUUACUUGCGCUCUGUGUUUCCAUCUCUUCAGCCUUGAUUUCAUCGAGACCUCCUUCGUUUCUUUUUUAUGUUGCCAAAGGGGGAGAGAUAUUUAGGAUCUAGGCGACCUAUACAUGCAUAUCAUUAUCAUAUCAUCCGUUUGGAUUAACUUUGUUUCGUGUACAUUUGAAUUUACUAUAUAUGAUAUGAUAUUUUCAUGAUUUACAUUGUUUUCUAUUGAAAAUUUGCAUGUCCUGAUUAUCUUGGUUUUAAAUUUAUAAAUUUCGGAUUGAUUGAUCCAUGAUUGGUUUAAGGGGAAAAUUUCUUUUUCUCCUAGAUAACCGAGGUUUGUCAUCAUAAAAAAUGGGGAGAAUGUUAGCCCAAGGGUUCUUCUAAUCGGGUUUUGAUGAUAACAAACCAUGGUUAAGUGACUAAUUGGUUUAAAUGGUAAAGAAUCUCAGGUAUAAAUUUGGAAAUUCAUCAAAGGACCAAAUGGAUACGAGAUUGAGACUUUUGGAAGUAUUUUGAUCAUAGGAAAUGAAUGUAAGAUGAAUGCAUGAGCGUAGUUAGGUUUUUCAUACCGUUUCAUGCAUCUUUGAAAACUCGGUUUAUCCUUUAAAAUUUCGAUUUCAUUAAAACUCGAGUUUUAUCAAAUAUACCUUAGGCAAAACGUUUUAAAAUUGACAUAUUAAUUCACCUAAAGACCUUGCCUAAGUGUUAGAAAAGAAAGGAAUUGAAAAAGAUAGGAUUUUGGGGCCAAAAGGUUGAGCCGGUCGAGGCUCUAGCCAACCGGUUUAAUCGGUUGGGGAACCGGUCGAUCGGUUGCCCUUGUCUGGUCAAGGUCUGGUUGAGGAGUGACAAAAACACUCUCUCUCAUCUAGUAGCUUCCUCUUCCCUGUUGAGGUUCACCCUUUCCUAGUUGAGGUUCAGUCGAGGUCCGGUCGACCUCCGGUUGAGGCAAUGAUAACUUGCCAGAGCAUUAAAUGCUCCAACGGUUAGUGAACUGAUCAACCCCUAACUCGACCGGUCGAGGCUGCCUUUUGCUAUUUUUAGCUCCCGAGCUUAGAAACCUAUAAAUUGAGAGCUCCACUUCAUUUAUGACAUAGAGAAUACUUGCAAUCAAUUGUCUACCUACCUGUUCUUAGCCUAAAAGCUUUCAUUUCUUUCUUAGUGCAUUAAAUCAUCACUUGCAUAUCCUUUAGUGCACCCUUGUGAGUCAUUCUAAUUUUGUUUUGUAUUUGAGCUAUCUUUGAGCUAGGUUGAGGGAUUCAUUCUUGUAAAAACUAAGUGUUAAAGCCUUCAAGAGGUUUGAAUCUUGAAGAGAUUGUGUAAGAGCCCAUUGGAGCCGGAAUCUAAGUGUAAGAAGAUUGGAAGCUUGGUUGAAACUUCAAGUUAGUGGAACCCUCACUUGGUUAGGAGAUUGAGGUGAGUGGACAUAGGUAAGGAAGUGCCGAACCAUUAUAAAACCUGAGUUUGAAUUCUCUAACUCUAUCUCUUUAUUUUUUAAUUAUAUUGUUCUUGAACUUGUUGUGUUGAAAAAGUUUUUAAAAAACCCAAUUCACCUGCCAACGGUUGAGGUCCAAUGGUCACCUGUCAAGCAUUAAAUGAUAAUGGCUAGUCAACCGGUCGACCCCUAGCUCGAUCGGUCGAACCCCCAACGGUUAGUUUGGUUUUUUUCUUCUAUAAAAAGGCUUCAAUCUUCAUUGUUUCAUAAGCUUAACCUUCCCAAACCUUUCUUGAAUAUGUUUGAGCCUUGGAAGAGUGUUUUUGAGUGUACUAUUGUUCUAAAACUUGCAUAUCUUUAGUGUACCAUUCAAUCCUAGUUUUCUUAUAUCAUUUGAGCUUAAAGUUUUUGUACUAGGAUGUUGUGAAAUCAUUUAUUUGUAAAUCUUUGAGAGGAAGUUUCUCAAGUGUGGGGUAUCACUUGAGGGGUUGUUCAAAAGUGGGAUAUCUCUUGAGAAGUGUAAAGGGUGCUUGGAGCAAAAAAUCUAAGAGGGUGAAUUGGAACCAUAAUCCAAUUGUAUUGCUGAAGGCUUGGUUUGGAAGCCUUGAAUUAGUGGAACCUCAAGCUUGGGAUUGAAGCUAGAGGAGAGUGGAUGUAGGCCGGGUUGUGCCGAACCUCUAUAAAAUCUUGUGUUUGCAUUAUCUCUUCCCUACUCUUUUAAUUUAUAUGCAAUUGUCUUUAUAUUGUUUAUUAUAUACUUACAUAUAAUUGUCUCUUACAUUCACAAAGUUUAAAUUUUCAAAAAGAGACCAUUACCCUAUUCACCCCCCCUCUAGGCUGAUUACCAUAGGUUGGAUUAGCCUAAUUUUUAUAACAUAUCAUUUUUUGUAAACUUUGUGUACUGAACUCAAUUGCAAGGUAGAAGAAAUCUAAAGUAUGAGACAUCACUUAGGGAUUCUCAAGUGUAGAGUAUCACUUAAGAGAUUGUUUAAGAGUAAAGUAUAUCUUGAGGAUUGUAAAGGUCUAUUGAAACAUGGUAAUCCAAGUGUAAGAAUGUUAAAAACUUUGACCUUAAAGUCUGUGAUAAUAGAACUCUCACUCGGUUAGGAGUUUAAGGAGAGUUGACAUAGGUCGGGUUGUGUUGAACUACUAUAAAAAUCUUGAGUUUGCAUUCUCUCUAUCCCUCCUCUAUUUACUUUAUGCAAUUGUUUCAUUUAUUUUUACAUGUUAUAUUUUUUGCUUAUUUGUCUUUUAUAUUCAUUAAAGUUAAAUUGUUUAAAUUUUCAAAAAGAGACCAUUAUCUUAUUCAACUAUAUAUAUAUGAAUACAUUUAUUUUAUAAAUAUUUUUUUUAACCAAAUAUAGAAGGUUGAAGCAUUUCUUCUAGUUAUGUUUUUACUUUUAUUUUAAAAAUUAAGACGUAAUCUAUUUUAAGUAUGCAAAAUAUGUUUAGUUGAUAUACCUAGUGCUUCAGUUAGCCAACCUGUACCUGAUAUACCUUAACAUCCUUUCUGAAAUUCUUGAAAUUGCUCUUGAACAACAUGUCCCUUCAACCUCUCAAUCUGAGCCAAUUAUUCCUACCUCUUUUCCUACACAACAUGUAGAUAACACUGAGUUGUGUGUUUAUUGAAUGAGGAAAAGGCCUAAAGAAGAAUUAGAGGAUCAAACUAGUCCAGAGUAAAACUAAGAAUUCAAUUUGAGAUAAAAAAAGUCUAGGUAAUUCAAUUCAAGAAACUGUAGUUUAUGAUGCUUCUAAGAAUCUUGAUAUGACUAUUACUCUAAGAAAAUGCGUGAGAUCAUGUACCCAACAUCCAAUCUCUAAUUUUAUUUCUUAUGACAAAUUAUCAUUAAAAUAUCAUUCAUUUGUUACUAAUAUAUCAAAUAUAGAGAUUUCAAGGAGUAUCCAUGAAGCUCUAGAAAAGAAUCUCUAGAAAAACCUGAAUGAAGGCAGACUGUAGGUGAUGAAGUCAAAGCAUUGAAAAAGAAUGGGAUUUGGGAAUUAUCAAACUUAAAAGGGAAGCAAUUAGUUGGAUAUAAGUGGAUUUUCAUUGUUAAAUACAAGCUAGAUGGAAGUGUAGAACUAUUUAAGGUAAGACUUGUGGCUAAGGGAUUCACUCAGACCUAUGGCAUAGACUACUAGGAGACACUUGCCCCUAUUGCCAAACUUAAUACCAUGAGAUUACUAUUGUUUUUAGCAAUCAAUCUAGAUUGAACUCUUCAACAAUUGGAUGUCAAAAUUUUUUACUCAAUGGAGAUCUAGAAGAUGAAGUCUAUAUGGAAAUCCUUCCAGGAUUUGACAAUAAAGCCACUAUUGGAACGGUUUGUUAACUUUAGAAAUCCUUAUAUGGACUUAAAUAAUCUCAUAGAACAUGGUUGACAAGUUUACUAAUGUGGUUAAGAAACAUAGGUAUAUACAAGGCUAGACAGGUCAUACUUUAUUCAUCAAACAUUCCUUGAAUGGGAAGAUUACUAUUCUUAUUGUCUAUGUUGAUGACAUUAUCUUGACAGGGAAUCAUACAAAUGAAAUGGACAAAUUGAAGGAAGUAUUGGUCAAUGUGUUUGAAAUAAAAGACCUAUGACCUCUCAAAUACUUCCUAGACAUGGAAGUGGCUUGCUCAAAGAAAGGUAUUGUGGUUUCUCAUUGGAAACAUGUUUUGGAUUUACUAAAGGAAACAAGGAUGCUAAGAUGUAAGCCUUCAAAUACUCCCAUGAAUUCAAACUACAAAGUAGGACUAAUAGCAAAAAGCCCCCCAGUUGACAAAGGAAGGUACCAACAACUUGUAGGGAAACUCGUUUAUCUUUCACACACACGACUUGAUAUUGGAUUUUCAAUAAGUGUCGUAAGUCAAUAUAUGAACAAUCCUAAUGAAAAGCACCUUGAAGCCGUGUAUCAAAUUCUAUGGUAUUUAAAGAUGACACCAAGAAAAGGUAUCUACUUUAGGAAAUGAACCAACAAAGGAAUUGAAGUCUACUUUGAUGUUGAUUGGGUAGGGUUCGUUCAAGACAAAAGGUCUACUACCGGCUACUACAUGUAUGUUUGAGAGAAUCUUGUAACUUAGUGGAGUAAGAAGCAAUUUGCUAUAGAAAGAAGCAAUGAUGAGGUAGAGUUUAGGGCUCUUACUCAAGGUAUUUUUGAAGGAAUAUGGUUGAAAAGAUUACUUGAAGAAUUGAGAAUUGAAGCUGAUAGAGUAAUGAAUGUUUUUUUUGUGACAAUCUAGAAACAAUUAGUAUUGCAAAGAAUCUAGUUCAUCAUGAUAGAACCAAAAAUGUUGAAAUAGAUUGUGACUUUAUUAAAUAAGAGAUUGAAGAAGGGAUACUUAAUUUGAUCUAUACUUCAAAUAGUCUUCAAGUGGUUAAUAUUCUCACAAAAGCUUUUCCAAGGGUAAAGUUCGAGGAAUUGAUUUCCAAACUGGGAAUGAUAGACAUCUAUUCCAUAGCUUGAGGGGGAGUGUAGGAACUUAGAGAAUAAAAUCCCUAUUAAAUAAGGAUUAGUUGACUUGUUUAUUUCUUGAAUUUAGAGAAUAAAAUCCUAUUAAAUGGUGAUUAGUUAACCUAUUUAUUUUCUUUUAAAUAAAGAGAUAUGAAUUAAUUCUAAAUCUCAUUUUUGUAUUUCAGUUUUACGUGUAUAUCCCUUAGUUUUAGGGAUAACUUUAUGGUCAUAAAUUAAAGAAUUCUCUAUGGUAGGUUCUUGCUAUCUUUCCUAUUUAUGUACUAUCAUUUUUCAUCGUGAAUAAUAAGAAAAAAAGAGUUUUCCUCUCUAAUUCUUGAACUAUAAUAUGUUUACUUGAUUCUUGAGGAAUCAAAUAAACGAGAGUAAUUUACUUUCUUUCUAAUUCAAGUAUUUACUUAAACUUGAAAUUAGAAAAAAUUUAUAAACCCUACCUAAUUUGAAGAAUCUCAUCUCCAAAAUGGAGAAUGGGUUUCCUUGAAACUAUACAAGGAAUCUCUUUCUAUUUCCUUAAGAUUGAAAAUUGGAUAAAAACUCCAUUAAGAGAUUAAUUAUAUGUUAAUUUGACAUACUAGCAUAUUAAAAAUAAUAACACAUUUUUAAAAAAUUUAAAAUGACAACAGGAUUACUAAAUAUAAUGGAUUACUUUAAUUGUUAUUGAUUAAGAUGAUACCAUAUUUAAUCAUUAGAAUUUUAAAUAAAAAGAUGUGAAGAUAAGCUAAUUCAAACCUAGUUGUACACCCGAGAAAAAAAAAGACGGGAAGGGGAGAGGGGGGGUGAAUUGGGUGUUGGUCUAAGUACAAAUGAAAAGAGAGUUGAGACCUGAGAGAGAAGAAAUGCAAACUCUGUUUAUAGUAAUUUGAUAAUCCACUUACGUUCACUAUCUUCAAGUUCUUAACUAAGUGAGGUUUCCAUUAAAUUUCAAAAGUGUGACCUCAAGCCUUCAAUGGAUGUAGUUAGAUUCCAUUUAAGGUUCCAACGGACCUCCAUACAUACCUCAAGUGAUCUAUCUCACUUGAAAAACACUUCUUAAAGGAAAAAAAAAAAAGGUAAGAUGAACACUCUCAAUCCUAGUAAGGAUGGCAAUGGGGCGGGACAAUACCCGAACCCGCCCCGCCCCGCCCUUAAUGGGAUGGGGUUCAAUUUUAAUAAACGGGUUUGGGACAGGUUUAGGAAUUUUUUUUUUAAACCCGGGACGGGUUCGGGUAUUUUCCCACCCCGCCUCGCCUCGUUUAUAAAUAUAUGACUAUAUAACAUAUAAUCAUAUCCUCAUAAGCACAAUCAUCGAGAUGGUCUCCAGAAAACCAGUGUGGGAAGAUUGCGCCAUUGAUACUCUCUUUUGAAUUGGGUUCUUCGACGAGCUGCCGAAGUUCCCAGCUCGGACUUAGGCCAUGAUUUUCUGGAGAAAUGCUUGAGAAAGUCUCUCUCCCGUAUUUUCUUUUCUUUUAUCCUCCCAAACAACAAACAACACCAUCAACAUGGCAUUUAUGUAAUUUACACCAUCCACGCUCCCAAAUUCUCGUCGCCGACGAUCUGUCUCAGUUUGGUUACCUAGAAAAAUCGGGGCAAACAACUAGGAAAAAAAAUCCGCAUUGUUGAAUUUUCACAACUUGGCAUUUUUUCUUGUUUUUUUCUGUGUCCAAACAGAAAACGUUAACUGUUGCAAGAUUCUAAAUUUUCUUCCAUGCUUUCUCGGAAGCCAAAUAAAUAGAGAAAAAAAAGUUAAAAAAACAGGAGCAAAGAAAGAAUAAAAUAGUUAUCUCAAUUGUCGUUUCAGUACCAAGAGUAUCUUCACUUUACACUAAACAACCAAAAAAAAAACCUCGAAUAGCUUGAAGAAAGCCUAAAUUUCCCCUUGAUCUGAAGAUCGCAAAGCAUAUUUACAGAAGAGACCAAUUCGGCAUAUUUGAAUUUCAUAGGGAAAACAGAGAAAAAUGAGAAAACAUUUGCAAAAAUCCAAGUAAAAAAUUUUAUAAGUAAUUUAAAAAAAAAAUUAAAAUUAAAAAAAAAGUUAAACGGGGUGGGGUGGGACGGGUAUGGGAAUUUAUCAUACCCACCCUGCCCCGCCCCAACCUGUUUAAUUUUUUAAAUGGGACGGAGAUGAGAAUUAUUUUAAAUAAAUGGGGCGGGGUUGGGAUGGGGGUGACUCGUCCCAAACUCGCCUAGUUGCCAUUCCUAAAUCCUAGUCUAGUAAGGUGCACUCACAAUACAAAUGACUAGGGUUGAUUUGAAGAUGCACUUGAAGAAUUACAAGUCAAGAAGUGAAUGCACUUGAAAUAGCUUUGAAUGAGAGAAAUAAUUUGGUAAAAAAAUGAAAUCUCAAGGUCUCUUAUUCAUAAAUGCUCUUCAAGUCUAGAUAUAUAGGUGAGUAACUCGAAAACCCCAAAGCCCAUAAUUUAGGCUCGACUAGUUGAGUGACUGGUUGGAUUAGUUCACUAGUCCUUAUGCAUCAAAUACACUUGUAGGUGUUGGGGUUCUAGACUUUGAUUGGUUGAGGCUCCUGCCUCAAUUGGUUAAAACAUACUAUUGGAAGUAUAAGGUGCAUUUUGUGCAUAUUAAUCAAUCGAGCCCAAUCGACUUAAUAGUUUUCUUCCUACCUCGACCAAUUACAUUGAAACUAUUGAAAAAAAAAAAGUCGGAUUGAAGUUGUGGACCUUCGGGAAGGCAUCCUUAAUACCAUAUAAACCUUUUAAACCAUAUUUUGAAAGAAUUAAAGUGAAGGUUUGAAAAAAUAAUAAAAACAUAAAAUCAUUCAAUUUUAUGAAUAUGUGAUCAAGUUGAGUUCAAGAAAUGAUGAUUUUGUAAAGGUUUGAGUGCAUGAAAUUUUUUGAUGACAAGUGCACCAACAAGUACAAUCUUACAUUGGUUCCCAAGUCUUCUUAGCUCUUCAAUAAAUUGAAGUUUUCAUUAACAAGAAUCUUCUAUUUGAGUUAUUUGAACUUUUUUUUUUAAUUUCAAGAAAACUUGAAACAAUUAAGUUGAUUUAAUCGUUAUUAAUUAUAACCUUGUUUUGUUAUCAUUAAAACUUGAUUAGGAAAACAGUUGGGCUAACUAAAGACUUUAGUUAUGGUGUAGGUUAACACAUCUGAUUGUAGGUAGGAUAUCCCUCACAAAUAAAACCCUUUUUGGAAAAUGGUUAUAAAAGUUCCGAGGGAGACCAUUACUUUAUGGAACACGUUUUAUAUGAGCAUCUUUGGGUGACAUUAUGAGAUGCGAAAAUUUUUGUUAAAUAGUUAAACUAUUGCCAUUGGAAAGCUAUUGCUAAAUUUUUUCUUGUUUUACUUAUUUUUGUGAUGGUAUGUAACUUUGCUCUUGGAAAAGAGGGUGUUUGAUAAAUCAACUUAAUGAUUUAAUAAAUUAAUUUAUGUCAUUAAGUAGAUUAAGCAUACAUGAUAAAAUAACUUAAUAUCACAACUUAAAGUUAAAAAUAACUUUAAGUAUUAAGUCAAGAUAGUAAACUUAUUUUUAAUCUCAAUUGUUUUGCCUUAGUUGCCCAUAUCUAGUAAGAGUAUAUUUUAUAAUCACGACUCUACAUUCAUGACUCAUUUUUUAUAGUGAAUAUUUUUGGGUUAUCUUAUACAUUUAUAAAACUUUAAAUAGGAAAAUUUAAAAAAUAAAUUUCUUGUUUAAAAUUAAUGAAAAUAAAUAUGAAUUAAAAUUAAUGAGUGUAAAUAUUAGUUAAGAUUAAUAAGGGUAAAUAUGUCAAUUAAAUAAUCGAGAACCUUAAUACUUUACCAAACAACCUUAAUACUUGAUAUAGAAGUCAAACAAUAAGAUUUAAGUCAACAACUUAAAAAUAAUUUAAUUUAAAGUUAGUUUAAGUUAUUAAAUAAUAAGUAUUAGAUUUCAUCAAACACCCUUUUAAUGCAAAGAUUUUUCCUUUCCUCUUUAAUACCCAAAUCUCUUUAAAUCCUGUUGUUUUGUUCUCGUCCCCUACCUCCCCAUCUUAGAACAUUAAUUUUCAUCAAAACUUUUGGACUUGAAAUUGAGGAACUAGCUCUUCUUAUAUCUUUUGUGGUCCAAGUGUAUUUGUAGUGGUCUCAUUCUGAUAUGCAGGUUUAGUCUUUAACCCCUUUAGCUUUGUUCUCAGUUAGUUUUUUGUUUUGUUUUUUUUUCAAAACUCUUCCAUUUCUGCCAACUUCAUCCCUAUUGCUUUAGCUAACUUCAUUUGGAUAUCUAAAGCCCUUCCUAACAUAAAGACCCAUGAGUGGCUUAUGGCUAGUAUGUAGAAAGGUCAAUAACAAUGAUAUGCUUCAAAAGCAUAGGCCUUACAAAGUCCUCAACUAACAGUGGUGUGUUAUAUAUGAGAAGAAUGGAGAAUUAGUUAUUCGUUUGAUCCUUGAUUGCUUAAUAGCUUUGGCUCUAUAGCAUAGGUUGUUUAGCUUACUAAGAUACUAGGUAUUGCCCAAAUGUAUGACAUAGAUGUUAACAUAAAAGUUUUUUAUUAUGGAGUUUGGGUUGGUAGCCUACAUAAUCAAGUGACAAUUUUUUUUAACCAAUGGAUACGUAAAACUUUUGAUUUAUUUUGUAGGUGAUAUUUUGCCUCCAUAAAUUAUAAUUAGUAAAUUUUUAGCAUAUUCUUAUAUUAUUUUUGUUUCUUCCUUAAAUGUACCACUUGUAUUUUUUCAACCUUGGUAAGGUAAAUCUUCUCAUCUUUUAUCAUAUAUCAUGUAAUCUAUAGAAGAAUCUCUCGUCCUUCUAGACGGUUUUAUUUAAUAGAAACAGCUAAAUCUUGUUUUCAAUAAAAAAAUAGUUAAAAAAAUUUCAUUCUCAUUACAAAGAAAUGAAGAUAAAAAUAAAAUGGACAACUUUUGUUUCUCUUUAUUUAUACUAUCUCCAAUUUCUAUAAAUAUUUAUCUAUUUUUAAUAUCAUUAUGUCUUCUCUCUUCACUAAUCAGGUAGGAAUCUGAUUUAUCUAUAUAUAUAUAUAUAUAUAUAUAGAAAGAGAGAGGGAGAGAGAGCAAAUGAACAUGAGCAAGAAAGCAUUGGGGGCAGUAACUAAAAAGUCAUAUUUUAUUCAAGAAAAACUUGCACAUAAAUUAUACGCUUGACAACAUAUGCUACAAAAUUUUUACAAGCCUCACUUGGACGAAUAAAAUGUAUUUUGUAUAAGCUUAUUCUAGGAGACAAGUCUCUCAAAUUGUUCUCUCUUUUGUUUCCCUCCUAUCUUUUUUAUUUUUUAUUUUCCUCUCAAAAACAAAAAUGAUCAUUUGCUGUCAAUGAAUAAGAGGUUGGACAAACUUAAAAGCCUGGCAAAACUGAGAGAUCUGCUAUCCCUUUUGGAAGGUCUGCAAUUUUCUUGAGUAGUGCAAGCCUGUUCUUUCUAAUUCUUUCUUCUUCCUGCACAUAGGCAAAAGUAAAAUUGGCCAUCUUUUCCAACACAACAGGAAGUAUUGAUCAUGGAAUAUCCACCCAUAGUAUGAGUUUGCAUUUGAUUCACACAAAAACAAAAGCAUGUUUGUUUGAGAGCAGGAACUACUUUGAAUUAAAAUCAUCAUACUAUCAAAACAUUCAGUUAGAAGUCAGCUGAAACCCCUCGUAAUAGAACUUGGUUUUACAGUUUUUUUUUUCUUACUCUUUUGAAUAGAUUUCCUAUAGGUAAUGGAAGAAUGUAAAAGUAUCACACAAGAAGACAUCUUUGUACAUGCAAAACCUAUUGCAAACCUAUGCCUUGAGAGCAUGAAGAGGGAAUUGCAAUUCAAAACUAUGAACUCCUAGAGCACCAUUUCAGUGGGUAUCUAUGCAUGUGUAAGUGUGGGUGUGUUCAUUUCUACAUGUAGGCAUCUAUAAGUAUAAACAGUAUAUAUAUGUCUGAAGGUAUGCAUGUUCAUGCUUUUAUGUAUGUUUUUUGUUAUGCAUUCUUAAGCUAUAUGAGAAUACACGUAUUAUGAAGACAUGCAAAUGCCAGUGGUUCAUCAUUUUCUUAGAUUUUAGUGUUUUAAGCAUUCAGUUUCACAAUAAACAUUAACAACUAUUUUUUCAUAUGUAUUUUUUCCAUCAAAUAAGAUAGGCACAUUACUUGUCCUACAUGCCAGGUCUGGGUGAGAUACAUCAUCAUAUACAAAUCAUAAAGCAAGAAGUUCCUUGUUUAUCACACUCAGACUGAACAUGUAGUUUUUCACAUGUAGUAGGAUUUUGUUUUUGUAGGCAUUCCAAUAAAUGAAAAUGAGGAGGAGCAUACCACCAUAACAAAGACAUUAUUAAAGAAAUCCUCAAGAGGCUGUAGCAGUUGGGAAGAUGCUUCGAAAAAAUCAUCAACCUCAAUACCUAUAGGAGGAAAAAGUUAAUAUUAGGGUUGGUAAAUAAAAUAUAUUAAUAUUAUCAAAGGAAUGUAACAUGAACUACUCUUGUGCACCAUUCUCAACUAGAAGAAUUGUUUAAUGAAAACAUGCUUUACAAAUAUAUGGAUUCAAUGCCACAAUAGAACAGUGAUGUCUUGGAUAAGAUGGAAGUACCAGGAUAUAUUUUGUUUCUAACUGAUAAGAAAGCCCUCCACAAAGCUCUCUCCUCAUUUGUCUCAAAUGAAGCUUCAUCCACCUAAGAAGAUUAUUUUUAUGCAAGUGAGAAUGUGGGCAAUUAGGUACUUGCAAUAAAUUGGUCCAUAUAAAUUCCACAUAUUAACAUGCCAUUUCAUAGGUAGGGAAGUAACAUAUCCUUAAAAGACAAAAGUGAAACAAUAAAGCAGUUUAACUUCUCCUCAAGUACUUCCACUACAUGAGUAUCAGACAAUCAUUGAUAAACCAGAAACUAGAAUAUAUAAUUUCAUUCACAACCCUUUAAUAAUACAGUACUAAACUAGUAGACACCCUUUUUAAAACUUUUUGUAUGCUGUUCAAUUAGAGUUUCAAGCAUCUAAAUGAUUUCCAAAGCCUGCCCAUUUAUCCUUACCCCAGAUUCACCAGAAUCACUCAUUUGCACAAAACAACAAAAAUACCCCUUCUUUCCCAUUUUUUAACACUAGCAAAUUUACCUUAAAACAACCUCGUAGUCGCCUAUAUCCUUAUCCAGGUCAUUGCCAAGUGUUUGAACCAAAAUAAGCCCUAUUAACCAAAUAACAAAUCUUUGUCCAAAAGGACCACAGUAAUCACCAGAGGAUUCGAUGUUGAAAGAUCCCCAACCAUAACUUCCCAUGACACCAACCUUACAUCCCAGAGAAACAGAUUUUGAUAGUUCACUAGUGAUGGGCCUCAUGCGGUCACUUGAUUGUUUGCAUUUGUCAUCUUCGGUUUCAGAUGUGAGAUCCUGGUCUUUAUCUUCUUCAAGGCUUUUUACAGUCAAAUCUUUCUUUCUUGCCUUAUCCCAAUGUUCUGGUUCUCCUCCAGUUUUCCCUACUGAGUUCGUUUGGAAUUCUCAAGUCCCUUUCAAAGUCAAGUUCUUUGUCUGGUUGGUGGCACACAAGAAGGUAAAUACUAAUGACUUGCUACAAUUGAGAAGACCCUACAAAGCUCUUAGUCCUGAUAUUUGUAAGUUGUGCAUGAGGCAUGGAGAAUCAACAGAUCAUCUUUUCCUACAUUGUUCUUUGACAAUGGGGUUAUGACACAAAUUAUUUCAGUUAACCAAGACGGAUUGGGUUCCCCCGAGGAGCAUUUUCAACAUGCUGUCCAUCAAUUACAAUGGUUUUGGUUUAUAUAAGAGAGGGACAGUUUUGUGGCAAGUUGCGUACAUAGCUAUAAUUUGGGUUGUGUGGCGGGAAAGAAAAGUGAGGAUCUUUGAUAAAGCAAGGAAUUCAGAGAAUCUUUGGGAUUCUAUUCAUUUCCUUACUUCUCUUUGGGCUUUUUGUUCCAAGGUCUUUACGGGGACUCCCCUUAUUGUGUUACAACUUGAUUGGCUAGCGGCAUGUAAUUCCUUUGGGUUGGUCUAGUCUAGAGAGUUUGUUCGUUAUUACAUUGUAUUUUCUUGUCUUCGUAUUCUUGUAGUUUAGUUUUCUUUGGUGGGAGGAUUCUUCAUCCUUCUUUUGUACUUCUUUUUUCUAUUAAUAUAUUCCUUUGUCAUUUCCUAUCAAAAAAAAAAAAAAGAAAUUUACUAGUGAUGCAUGGUGCACUGAAUUAACUUAUAUAAUUGUAUUGGAUGUCAUUUAAACAUCUCAGAUUAAUAGCGAGAAGUGCCAAUAUCUUCUCAAGACAGAUAUAUUUUCCGGUGAAACUACUAACAUUACAAAAAAUUAACUUCUAGAGCUCUCGAACAAGUAAAAUAUCACGUAAAAGGGACUUAGAGUAAAUGCAUGGUUGAACAUACUCAUUUAAGACUUGAGUGCAAUGGUUUUGAACCAACUUGGAGGCUGAAACAAGAAAAAGAUAAUGGGUGUGCUGCAAUUAUAGCUUACUGUUGACUUAGUAUUAUCAUCCAUAGUAAAUUAUAAUUUUUUUAAUAGACAAUAAGAAAUCUAUCAUAAAUUAUAAAUUACCAAGUAGGCAAUACUCUUCAUACUUUUUGGUUCAGUUUAAGAUAUUUCAGUUAUGAAUAUGACACGAACAGUUCUAAACAAUUAAAAAGUUUCUUGUUUUGUUUGUACUAAAAAGGUACGUGUUUCUCCAAAUCAAAGCGCUCAAAAAUCAAUCUAUCAUUACUUCCAUAAAUUAGGAAUAAAAAAUAUAAAAAAAUCCAUUUGGCAAAUCACGAAAUCGAUGAUAAGAAUAUUGUCACGUCUAAAUUUUAAACAAGGGGCGUGGAGAAUUAGUUGAUCAUCUCUUCCUACUUGCCCCAUAGUAUCAUGGUGCAAUACUUCUUGUGAUUAACUGGGUUCCACCUAAAAGUUUAGAAGAGAUGAUAAUUAUUUCCUAUAGAGAAUCUCAGAUAAUUGUUAUUCUCUAAAUAAGGAUAAAAUCCAGAAUUUGGUUUAUUUUCUAAAUAUGGGAGAUGGUGUUACUUGUUGCUAGCUGUAAUAUUACAGCUGGUGUGAAUCUCCUAAAAUAAAGGGUUGUGGUUACAAAACCUAACCUAUAAAUCUACUUGUAUUGAAGAUAUAAAAUAAUAUAACAAAAACAGUAUCCACUUUGUGGUCUGCCCAUUUUUUUUUCUGCAGCGUUUUUUUUCCUUCAUCUUUUUUUUUUUUUUGUUUCCUGCCCAGUUUCAUGGUAUUAGAGCUGGUGCCAGUUGAGAAAAAAGAUGUAUAGAACAACCUUAACUGGUGAGUGCAGGGAUGCUGGUUCUGAGGUCUCUUCGGAAGUCUCUCAGCCCAUCCCCACAAGUUCAUCCACUGCAGCCUCCUUUCCAACCUUUUCCGAAAAUUCUUCUCUUCAAAUCACAACCAUGAAACUGAAUAAUCAAAAUUUCCUUCAAUGGUCUCGGUCUGCUCUAAAGAGGAUGAGGCCAUCUUGGUUAUGCGGAUGGUUCAAUAAAAAAACCUGAUCCAGGAGAUCUCUCUUUUCCAACAUGGGAUGGAUGCACACAAAACUCCAUGGUUAUGGCGUGGAUUGUGAAUUCAAUAGAAGAAGAUAUCAAGGAAUUUUAUCUAUAUUAUUCCACCGCUAAGGAGAUGUGGGAUGCAUUAACUCUAGCAUACUCAGACAUGAAAAACUCAGCCCAACUUUUUGAACUUUGAAAGAGAGCUCGUGAUUUGAAACAAGGGGAGCUGGAUGUUGCCCAAUAUUUCAGUGCCUUGACUCACUUGUCGCAGGAAAUUGGUCUUUAUGUCCAAAUUCCAUAGUCAAAUCCUCAGGAUGUUGAACUAUACAAAAAGCAAAUUAAAAAAGAAUGAGUCUUUGAUUUUUUGGUGGAAUUAAAUCCUGAUCUUGAUGAGUCAGGGGCCAACUUCUAGGAAUCAAACCUCUCCCAUUGAUUGCUAAAAUAUUUGCUGAAGAGAGGCAAGUUGAAAACGGGUUAUGAUGGGCGAAUCAAAACCAUCAUUGCCUGAAGUUUCAGUCCUAGCAAUUCCUGGUCAAGAAUCCCCUAAGAACUAAAAAAGAAACAAUCCUUGGUCUGAUUUCUGCAAGAAAACAAAUCACCAAAGGUCGAUGUUGGAAGUUACACGGUAAGCCGCCAAAUUGGAAGGACAGUAGGGUUGGAAAUCGAGAUCCCUCUGGUUUUCAUAUUUUAGCUGAGAUCUCUAACUAACCAGAUCCUAGCUCAAAGUAGAAUGUUUUUGGAGAAGGUACAUAGUUCUUGCUUACCAAAGAGAAAAUGGAGCAAUUGUACAAACUACUCAAACCAUCAUAGGACACCAAUACUUUAUUUCUAGCACAAGGAGGUAAUUUUUUCUUAGCCCUUAGUAGUUGCAUCAAUGAUCUAGAAACCUAGGUGAUUUGACACUAGAGCCACAGAUCACAUGACAGGUUGCGAAAAAUUAUUCUAGUCAUAAAAUCCUAGUUCAGGAAGUUUCAAGGUUAAAAUAACAGAUGGAUCUCUUUCAACAGUGGAAGGAACCGGAACUACUAGAAUUAGUCAUAAAAUUGAAACUACACUUUGUUUUGCAUGUUCCAAAUUUGUCUUGCAACCUUCUCUCUAUUAGUAAGCUGACUUUGGGGAAGAGGAUUGGCAAUGCUAGAGAAUGUGUGGGGCUAUACUAUUUUGAGAAAGAAGCCAAAUUGAAUAAACAAGCUCAAACUACAAGUUGUAAGUCUUUUUCUAGAGGACAUAAAAUAAUGUUGCGGCAUCAUAGACUAGGCCACCCAAGUUUUUCAUAUAUACGAAUUUUGUUUCCAUCACUAUUUCAUAAUGGAGAUUUAUUUCAAUGUGAAAUUUGUUAAUUAGCCAAGCAUGCUCAUUCCACUUAUCCUGCUAAAAAAUACAAGGCUUCAUCACCUUUUUCAUUAGUCCAUAGUGAUAUUUGGGGUCCUUCAUGAGUUAAACAUUUAACUGAAAAAAAAAUGGUAUAUCACAUUUAUUGAUGAUCACACUUGGGCUUGUUGGGUAUAUCUUUUGAAAGAAAAAUUAAAAGCAAAGCAAGUGUUAAAAUUUUUUUAUGCUAUGAUUAACACCUAAUACAAUGCAAACAUUAAAAUUCUCAAAACAACCAACAAAAAAGAAUAUUUUAAAUCUAUUCUAGGAAGUUUGCUCUCUGAGAAAGACAUUAUUCAUCAAAGCUCCUACAUAAUAACCCCACAACAAAAUGGCAUGGCUGAAAAAAGAAUUGACACCUUCUACAAGUAACUAGAGCCAUUAUGUUCACAAAUAAUGUACCAAAAUACCUUUGGGGGGGUGUUGUUCUUACUGCCUAUUAUCUAAUAAAUAGAAUGCCAACCCAGAUUCUCAAUUAUGAAAUACCGUUAACUUGUUUUCUCAAAACCUAUCCUCACAACCAAUCUAUCUCUUCACUUCCAUUAAGAGUCUUUCAUUGCACUUCCUUUGUACACAUCCACGAUAAUGAUAGGAGUAAACUUGACCCUAAAGCUCAAAAAUAUAUUUUCUUAAGAUACUCUCCUGCACAAAAAUGGUACAAGUGUUACUCACUAGGAACAUGCAAGUAUUACACUUCUAUGGAUGUGGCAUUCUUUGAAAACCAACCUUUUUUCACCAAAACUUUCCCUAAAGGGGAGAAAGUUAGCGAGGAUGGAAAUAUUUGGGAUGUCAUUGCUCCCGUAUAUGCACCACCACCUAAAGCCUGAACAACCACAAACACUACUACCUAAGCCUAAACAGCCACAAACACCUUUUGCAGAACCUACUAUGACCAUGAACAAGGGUUCAAUGACAGGGUACCAACAAGCUUAACCCAAUCACACUCUGUUUUAUAGACAAAAAAGGGGUAAGACUACGAUUCUCAUAGUCUAUGUUGAUGAUAUAAUCUUGAUUGGUGAUGAUAUUAUAGAGAUGCAAAGGCUAAAAAAUACUCUUGCAGCAGAAUUUGAGAUUAAAGAUCUAGGCCCAUUGGGAUAUUUUCUUGGUAUGGAAGUAGCAAGAAAUAGAAGCGGUAUUUCAGUCUUGAGGAAGUACGUCCUAGAUCUCUUGGAGGAGAUAGAGAUGUCAGGGUGUAAGCCUGCAAGUACACUCAUAAAUCCUAAUUUGAAACUAGGAGAACAAUCUGAAAGCACACUAAUUGAUAAAGGUUGAUACUAACGUCUAAUAGGAAAGCUUAUCUAUCUUUCCCAUACUAGACUUGAUAUUGCCUUCGUAGUUAGUGUCGUGAGCUAGUAUAUGCAUUCUCCUUAUGAAGAACACAUGGAAGCCAUGUGUCAGAUUUUGAGAUACCUUAAAGGGACUUUGGGACGAGACCUAUUCUUCAAGAAAAGUGAAGAGAGCAGUGUUAAGACUUUUAUAGAUGUAGAUUAGGUAGGAUCAGUGGAAGACAGGAGGUCAACAAUCGAAUAUUGCACCUUUGUGUGGGGUAAUUUAGUGAUGUGGGGGAGCAAGAAACAGACAGUGGUGACUAGAGGUAGUGUUGAAGUAGAAUUUAGAGCUUUAGUACAUGGGAUUUGUGAAUUACUAUGAUUGAAGAUAUUGUUGGAUAAAUUGAAAUUUAUGAGAAAUGAGCCUAUGACGAUUUACUGUGACAAUGAGGCUGCCAUCGCCAUCUCUCAUAAUCUCGUUCAUCACAAUAGAACAAAACAUGUAGAGGUGGACCUCCACUUUAUCAAGGAAAAGAUCGAAGAUGGGAGCAUUUGUGUUGUCUAUGUGCCUUCAUCAUAGCAAGUUGCGGAUUUGUCAACUAAGGGAUCAUUCAAGCCAGUGUUUGAGAAGUUGGUUGACAAGCUGGGCCUAUUCAAUGUGUUUAGUCCAGCUUAAGGGGGAGUGUAGAGAAUCCCGAAUAAUUCUUAUUCUUUAAAUAACGAUAAAAUCCAAGAUUUGGUUUAUUUUCUAAUUAUGGGAGAUUGUGUUACUUGUUGCUAGCUGUAAUAUUACAGCUGGUUUGAAUAUCCUAAAAUAUAGCUGGUGUGAAUUUCCUAAAAUAAAGGGCUGUGGUUACAAAACCUAGCUUAUCAAUCUACUUGUGUUGAAGAAAUAAAAUAAUAUAACAAAAACAGUCUCUCUGUUUCCUGCCCAGUUUCAUUUCCUUUAAAGAAUUUUAAGGGGCCUCAUAACUUUGGACUUUUACUAGUCCCAUAUUGAUAUGGACUAUUUGGUGGAAAAGAGAUGUGAGUUCUGAGAAUAGAUGGAGCUUGGAGGCAGUUUAGGACUUAUUUUAUUUCCUCCUCCUUGGGCUUCAGCUGGUGAAGCCUUUGCACACACCCCCUUGAGCCUUAUAUGAUAGGAUUGGAACCUAGCGUGCAGGUCCAGAAGGUUUACUGAGGGUCACUGCCUCUAAUGAGUUUUACAAAGGUAAAUCUUAAUGGUAAUUUUUAUUUUUGAGUAACCUAAGACAGAGCACAGAAGCAUUUCAUAUACCUCCAGACCUUUAUUAAUUUAAUCUGAACAAAGCUUUUCUGAAUCAUAUCUAUUCAAAAACUAACAACUACCAGUAUAAGAGGUGUUUCAGCAAUGAAAUUUUGGGUAGUUAUGUAAAAGAAAUAGCCAGUGCAUUCAGUAUAUUGAAGUUUAUGUGCAACUCUUGAUGAUAAAUAAGUCCAGUUUCUGAGGAUGGAUGCAUGAAAUUAUUUCUGGUAGGAUCCUGGAGCAAGAUAUUUGGCUUAUAUCCAGUGUGUUAGAACCCUAAUAACCAACUACAAUCCUGCCAUUUUCUUCAAUGAAGAUUAGGCAAGUUAGGGCACAGCCCAUUAACCUCAGUCAAGCUAAACAUCUGAAACCAGACAACUUUCAGGUCCUAAGAAACAAGUUUCUGAUUAGAUUUAAUAAACAAAACGUAACAAAUACCUCCAUAUCAGCUUCCACAUCCUUUCCACGAACAAUUCUUGUUGGACGAGAAUAGGCUUCAACAACCUUCGGCAGAAGCUCACCUCUUGACAUGGCAUCCAUCUAAAACCAAUUAAUUUUUACACCAUUAAAACUAGAUAUAUCCUCCAAGAAUAUUGAAAAGGGGUAAGCAAUAUCCAUUCUUUUCCCUUUUUUUCAACAGCACAAGUAUAUUAAUGAAAAAUUGAAGUCAUAUUCUCAAGAGUAAACUUUUUCUAUUAAAUUCUUGCAUCUUUUCAAAAUGAAUAAAUAAAAAGAAAAUGGCAGAGAGAGGGGACAAGGCAACAUUGGAUAAAUUUUGAGAAAACUUCAAAUUAAGUUGUAUCUUAUAUUGAAUUGACAGAAUAAACCCAGCUUUUGGGCCCCAACGAGUUUUACCAGUAGUAUUCUUUUGCAUGCAUGCAAACCAACUUACAUAAAACAUCAAUUUUAUUUCCUUUCUUUUCUUUUUCCUAUUCUACAGUUUUAUUUCAAUGAGUACCUUAAGAUUUCUAUUAUUCGGAAAGGAGAAUAUCAAAUGGGAAAAAUAACUACUGCUAAAUAAAAACAAAGGAAAGAUGAGCACAUGAUCCUGUUAGCAAAAUACAGCAAAGCCCAAUCACUAAAGGUCCACUAAAGGACAGAAAACAAUAAAUAAAUUUUGAAACUUGAGAAGUCAGUAAUGCAAACAUGAUGAUGCAAAUCAUGUUAAGAAAAAAAAAGGGCUUAUUGAGAUUUUCUUUGUAAAAUAAAUGUUAAAAUCUAGAUGGGUAUCUAGUUAACUAGUUUAGUCAGUAUUCUAAAUUACUAACCAACAACAUGGAUUGCCCAGCGAGAAAACUCUUAGCAAGUAAAUGCUACAAUGGCUAUAAUAUAGCUAGUUAAGCAGGCAGAUAGUGUUCAUUUCAAAACCUCUGUUACCAAAUUUUUUAUUACCCUUAAACACAAAGGCUGUGUUUGCUUCCUAGAAAUUGUUAACGAAAUGAAAAAAGAAGAAGUUAAAGAACAUAAUUUUCUCAUGUUUGGAUAGCAUGGAAAAAUGUAAGGAAAAAAAAAUGGUCAGCAAAAGGAGGAAGAAA